UUUUCUUUUUUAGUGGGGUGGUGAGGGGAUAUAUGUCAACAUUACUAGGUCCCAAGAAGCAGGAGCUAACUCUUAAUUAAUCACCCCCAUGAAUUAUUGGACAUUUCUUAAUUAAACUACAUAUAUAUGCAGUGGAGUCAAAAAUUCCCUGUUAGUGGCAGGCACCCUUCGGGCCCCUCCAUGAACUCAGGGUUUGAAUCACCACCUUCCCUUUUUGCAGCCCCAUCUUUCCUAGAAGCUAAGCUAAGCUACCUGUCCAUCCAUACACCAUGGUCAGAAAAAUCGUAGAGAAUUUUGCCGACUGAUGAUUAACCAAUCAAUCUAACUGCAUCUGCCCUUUUUAAUUUAAGAAAAAAGUGACAGAGAUCAGAUUCUACCCGGUUUAGUUUACACCGGUCGGUGUCGCGGGAGAAAUGCGAAACCACUUGUACAAACGGUCCGUGUGACAUUUUGUAUGUGCGGCCACUGUUACCCCAGCUAGCUAGCUUCAUAUCUCUGUUACUACUAAUAGUAAUCAGUUGUUUAAUCUUGGCAAUUUCAUUUCUUGCCUUUGUUCUUUUGAUGAGGAUUGUGAUAACUAAUUAGACCUUGUUCACUUUGUGUUGGAUGUGAAUUAGAAUAGUACUUGAACUAAAUUCCACCUCAUUACACGCGGAUUAAGGUGAACCUGACAACUCUGAACAAAGCCGUAUUAUGGAAAUAGAAUCAUGUAACUAGUUCUGAAGAAAUAUAUACAUAGUAAAGGUGAAGAAUGAAUAGUUAAUCAAAUGAGAAAUUAAAGAGCUUACGAUUUGGCGCGUGAGGAGGAGGAUGGCGAGGAAGGCGGUGCCCAUGACGAUCGUCUGCCAUUUCCACUGCACCGACCGAUCGUUGGCAUCAGCGUGACGAGCAAUUGUGAGAGGGAACGAGGACGAUUUGUUGCGUAGCUGGUGAAUUUUAUACCAGACGCAGACAGGCUUGCUGCUCUGUCGUCAUUGCCGGCCGGCAGGCGACGACAGAGCACCGAGCACGAGGGCGUACGUACCUCGUCGUGGCGGUUGACGACGGAGCGCAUGACGUCGACGAAGCCCAUGUGAGAGGUGAAGUGCACGAUGCCGAGCAGGCUCUUGAGCUGCUGCAGCGACACGAUGACGGCGGCGCCGCCCAUGAAGCCCGUCAGCGUCGGCUUGGACAGGAAGUCGACGAUGAAGCCCAGCCUGCGAUGCAUAUGGACAUGGACGUGAGCUGCUCUGCCUUGUCUACCGCGGCGCGGCCGAUGGAGAUCGCCGGCGGCAGAUAGCGCCACCAGCCAAUGGAACAGUGUCGUUGUUUGUUCAUGCAGAAUGGCACCCACCUGAGGAAUCCCAGGGACGCCUGUAAGGCGCCGGCGAAGAAGGUGGCGGUGAAGGCCAGCUGCAGGUACAGGAUGGGCUGCUCGUCCGGCGACACGGCCUCCCGGAGCAUGGACCCCAUCACCAGCGACGCGAUGGACACCGGCCCCACCGCCAGGUCCCGCGAGCUCCCCAGCAGCGAGUAGAUGAGCGGCGGCACGAAGCUGGAAUCUGCUUGCAAUUGCAUGCAUGCAUGCACAAGGUUACUUAUUAUUCGAGAUUCAUUCGUCAAGACAACCAGCAGAGAUUGAGAUUUUCUCCUACGAAAUUAUUGCAGGCAGGAGCAAGAGAAAGAGAAGGAAGACGAAGAAACUCACAUAGGCCAAUGAUCGGCGGCAGGUUGGCGAGCUUGGCGUAGCUGAUUCCCUGCACGGCGACGGCGACCGUGUUAGAGUGAGUUAUGGCGCGCCGCACGCCGGCCGGCCUAUAUUCUGGGCAGUGCCAUAAAAAACCGUGCCAAACGUAGCUAGGAAUUGAAUGAAGGCGCGAAGAAGCAGAGGGAGGCCAGGAAGGGAAAGCAGAGGAGCACGUGCCUGCGGGAUGGCGAGGCUGGCAAUGGUGAGGCCGGCGAUGAGGUCGGAGCGGAGGAGGGUGGGGCUGUAGGCGGACCCCCACUGGAAGAUGGGGAAGAAGUACUGCAGCGCCAGCACCAGGCGCCGCGCCGACGACUGGUUCUUGAACUGGUGCAGCGGGUCGUCGGGGAAGAACACCUCGGCGAGCCGCUGCCGCAGCGCCUUCGCCACCGUCCGCCGCUCCGGCACCGACACCUUGUGCAGCUCCAGCACCGACGCCGACGCCGUGCCCUGCCGCGACACGGGCGCGGCGGGACGAGCCGAAGCCGGCGCCGGCGCCGGCGGUGGCGCUGCCGCCGCCGCCGCCGAGGCGGUGGCAGGGGGCGGCGGCGCCUCGACGUCGUACGACAGGCUGUCCACCUUGUUGUUCGCAACCAUGCCGGCUGGCUGCUGGUCAAUCGCUAGCUUCUGGUCGAUGGCGUGCGUGGUCCCCGCUGGUUUAUCGCCGGCAACGGCGGGCGGUGAGCCGGUGACCGAGGCGCGCGCGCGCGUGGGCGGCCUUGUCGAUUUGGGAUUUUAAUUCGUCGUGCCCUGAUGGCUUUCCUGCUGCAACGGCAGGGGAGUGAAGAAGGAGGAGGGAGAGAGGUGUUUGUUGUUGCCCGCUUGUUGGUUUGCUGGUUGCCUGGAUGGAUGGAUGGAUUCUUGCGGAGGAGGACGACGACGCCGCGGCGCCUUUUAUAGGAAAGGGGAGGAGGGAGACGGAGGCCGGAGGCGGGAGAAGGCAGAAGCAACCCCGGUUUGGACCACGGUCGACGAGUGAACCAACACAAGACAGGAGCAGACAAGAGCGACAGAGACUACUUACUGGUGUUGGUUGAUUUUGGGGGGGCGCCUAUUACUGGCGAAAUCGUCUUGGAGAAUUUGAGGCAUAUGGAUGCAUGGAAUUUAAUGGAGGAUUUGCUUCAUCUCUUAAUUUUUCUUAGUAUUAAUUAGUAUAGAUGGUAUAAAUCAAAGAGAGGUGUUGACUUCACUUUUGGAGGUGUUCGGUUUCGAGACUUUUUGAGAGGUUGGAUUUCUCCAACAAGAGAAUAUUCCUCGUAGAUGCGGGUUUAAACGGUUACUCAAAAUCGAGCAGACCGAACCAACUCACUUUGUCGCACGGUGCGGGCGUGGACAAGGGGGGUGGUGGCACGGGCCAUUGUGUUCACAUGUGCAGGUCGACCGAAUGGCCGUUUGCGCAUGCAAGCUGGUAUGAGGGUGGCAGGCGCAGGUGAGAUCUGUUUUAGAUCUAAAAUGUUUUUAGAUUUUGACAUACUAACACUUUCUUUUGUAUUAACUAGGCUCAAAAAAUUCGUUUUCAUAAAUUACAAAUAAACUGUGCAAUUAGUUAAUUUUUUAUCUAUAGUUAAUGCUCUAUAUAUGUGCCGUAAGAUUCAAUAUGAUGAGUAAUCUUAAAAAGUUUAUAGAUUUUGGGGCAAACUAAAGAAGACAGCAAUGCUCGGGUUGAGGAGGGCGUAUUUAAGCAGCCAGUUGGAGCGUAGAGUUUCAUGAACAUUAAAUAUGUUGAUAUGACACUAUAUUAAUGAAGAGAGAGAUGAUAAUAGUUUCAUAGAAGUAGAAAGAUUUUCACGAGGAUAAAACUCCUUUGCACUGUUUUUAAAAUAUGGAUGCGUUGGAAACUAGGUCAAAAUGACCUUAGAUACUUUCUUAGUUUGCACUAUUUGUCCAUAGAUCAACUGUCUGCAUUCGGAGGCAUUAAUUAAGAAAUAAAAAACCCAUUGAGGGUGUAUCCUCAUUAAAUAAAACAAUAAUUAAGGAAAUUGAGUGGAUAAACUACAACAACUAUACUCUUUGACUUCUUUGGUGGUCAAAUAUUUUAAAACAUAUAUUCUCGUGAGGCUUGGACAAGCAUGGUUAAACAAGAGAGCAAGGGAACAAAAACGUGUCCUCAACAAUCUAACCUUAAGGGCACUCACAAUGCAGACUCUAUCAUAGAGUCUAAAAUUAUUUAUUACCUCGAACAAUGUGGACUUAGAGUCUAAAUAAGACUUGGAGUCUUAUUUUUUCUACCUCUUUCUUCAAUAAAUAUGGUGCCAUAUCAGCAAAAUACCAUAAAUAAUAUAUAAUUAAUUAUUUUAGACUCUGUGAUAGAGUCUUGCAUUGUGAGUGCCCUAAGAUCACUAUUAUUUUGCCUCUCUCUUUUCUUAAUGCUAAUUUUGUUUUCUCCCUUCAAUUAAAUUCUUUCUUUCUAAACAAAUGAAUCCCUAACAUGCAUGGCCCGUCUUUACUUGGUAGUCUCACUGUUCACAAAAGAAUAUAAUUCUCACUCUUCGAAAAGUCAAACGGUUUAAACUUUGAUUAAACUUAUAUAAAAGUGUGCUAACAUUCUUUAUGAUAUAAAAUAAGUACAAUUAAAUUAGCUAUAGAAUAUAUUUUUAUAAUAAAUGAUUUAAAUACAUAAAUAUUUAUAUUAUUCACUAUAAAUUUAGUCAAACUUGAUAGGCGUGGAUCCGAUAUGGGCAAAAAAGAUUAUACUCGGUAUAUGCCCUGAUUUAAUACAUGCAUGUAAACACGCGAAGUUAAAAAGUAAAGUACUAGUUAUUUGAGGCAUAUAUGGAAGGAUGCACACGACUUGAAUUAUAAAAUAUGAAAGAAAUGUGGUGCUGACCAACAAAAUAAAUACUAAUUAACUUGCGAUUUCCAUAUGAGCAAGUUUUCAUGCUACGAGAUUCAUAAAACCCAACCUGUUAACUGCCGCAUUGGUGUAGAAGCCUUAUUUUCUAGGUUGACAUACUAUUUUUAUUGACAAUUAUAGAGUAAAAAAGAAAUUCAAACUAUCUACAGUGUCGCACACUCACACGCCCUCUACCGGUAACUUGUCCACUUGGGUCAACUCUCUCACAAAAUAACAAGUUCAUCCGUCAACUAUUAGAGAUAGAAUCAGUAGUUGACUGUACGCUGCAUUGAUCAAUCACUGUGGUAGCAGGUCUAAUGAGUAUUGGGCCUACCUGAAAAAUAACAAAGGCAGAUAUAAAUUGACCAGAUGAUCUCAACAGGUUCAUUACGCUUCUCCCUCUUAUAACAAAGGCAGAUAUGGAAGAGCCUCCUAUAAGAUUAACGUUUUGUUCGUCUGUUGCUCCUUGAAACCACACAUGACACCAUAAAAUUCAGAGUUUUUUUCCUUGAAUUACUAUAGAAACUAGGUGAAUUCGCCGCGCGUUGCUGCGGGAUUUUCUUAAAAAUAAAUCAUUAUAUAUAUAGCACUACUAUGCGGUAUUUAGUCUAUUAUGUAUGUACAUAUAUGAAUUUAACUUGUAUGUAUUUUAUUGUAUUAGAUCUAGUAAAAAUUGCUAAGCUAAUAUAAAACAAAAACUAAUAUUUGGUUACAUUAUAGAGGAAUUAAUUGGUGAUGAAACAAAUAAUGUAUGUACAUGACUUGUAUGUGAAUAUAUUAAAGAUUUAAAGUAUUUCACAUGAUAUAGAUGAAAUGGUUAUUUUUUAUAAUUAAUAUGGAAUGAUAUGGACUUAGUAGAGAAUGAUGUGGACAUAUUACAUGAAGAGAUAAAAUAUUUAGUGGGUCAUUUAGUGGGAAAUGAUGUGGACACCUUGCAUGAAGAGAGAAUUCAUCUAGUGAGGUUUAGCUUUAUAAGAGUUAUAGAUAGAUACAGACGUUUGUACAAGCAGGUCUCCUUGUUUGUUUGGCUACUAAGCUAUAAUAGAAAAUAUUAUUGACUGAUUUGUUGUGAGAGAAAAAUACUCCUGAAUGACUGACAGAUUUAGCUGAUAAGCUCAAACGAACAUACUAUCACUAACAAAUAAAAUUACAUGAGACUACCCUGUCUAUUUAGACACAAGAACAUGCCAUGAUUGAUAAAUCGUAGCCUGACCAAUGGAAUUUCUGACGAUUGUUGGUCGGCUUCCUUUUAUUUUCCCAAUUCGAAUCUACUCCUUAGUACUCGCUCAGUUCUAAAACUAACUGCCGUUUUGAGUUUUAUAUCGCAAGUUUCGCGCAAUAUUUAUAUUUCUAAAUAAAUUUAUUAAAAAACUAGAUUCAAUGAUGUUUCAAGAUACUAAUUAUGUAUCAUAGUAAGUUUUAAUAUUUUUUAAUAUAUAUUUAGUCAAAAUUGUUUUUUAAAAAGUGAGAAUAAUAAUUAUUUUGAGACGUAGCGAGUACAUAGCAGUAGACAGUAGUAAAAUAUUAAAAAAAUCUCUCUCCUCUACUAGCAGUGAAUCUGUCUCGAAUCCAGUGCCACCCCUAGUAAAAAGGGAAGCAGAUUCACCACUCUCGCAAAAACAAAAGGAAGAAACUCCUGGUGGAAGGUGAAUACCUUUUUGCCCUUUUAGCUCUUGGAUGGACGAUGGAUGCUGGGAUGGCGGCCCACAAUUGGUGGGGUAAGUUCACUGGAUCACUUUGUGCUCAUAUGCUCAGUGGGGUGCCCAAUUUUAACGGUCGUGUAUAUCCAUCCGGUGGCCAUGCUUAAUUAUGAGCACACAGCUUUGUUUAGUGAAAGUGCAGUAUGUAGGGGAAGGAUAGAUUCCAGGGCGGCGUGUGUCCACGCCACGUGUGCACUGAUCGAUGGGCCCACAUGUGUGGCGGGGCAAGUAACAUGUGUAGGCUUUGGAGUUAGGAAUGAUGUUUGGAGCACACCCAUGCUUGACCCAUACAUUAAUUACUUUGGGAAAGGGGUGUGUUAUUUUAACUAAAAAAAUGAAAAGAAGCAAAUGAAGGCAUUCAUUCCUUCUCCAAAUAUGAUGCUAUAAAUAAUGGCAGAUGGAUUAUAUUCACUCAAGAUAGCUUGAUAUCUACUCGCGCUGAUUAUUCAGGAGUUCAUUUGUUUAGUAAUCUAUUGUCAAUCCAUUUAAGUUAAAAUACCCACAUUAAAUAAAUUCUUAUUUGGCAGACACUGAUGUAUCGUCCAUAACAUGAGGGAAAUUGCAGAGUGACGACAUGUUAAGGAUUAUCCAUAUGCUAGCACUAUUAUUGGAGUAGAAGGGUAUAUAUAUGGCACGGAUGUUUUUAUAAUACCGUAACGAGUAAGAUUAUCUUAAGUAGAAUCUAUGGGGGAAUGCAAAGCUAGCAUUAAAAACUUAAGCUAAACAAGCAUGCAACACCACUCCGGCGGAGAGUCGUAAUUGUUUGUUCGGUGCAAUAUAAUGCUACUUACUAGCUACACUUUCACAUUUUUGGAGACAUGCAUGUUGAGCUAGCUAGUACCUUCUGAACCGUCAGUUGUGACAUGAGCACCAAGAGCUAGCCAUGAUACCAACUGCUAACAUUUCAAUGACAAGGGACAACUAUCACUUACCGCAUAGAGUGGAACUUCCAAUUAUUCAUCCUUGCAGUCAAUAGCCUAUAUAUACCUUCCUUCCAAAGGUGACCUAUAUGUACCUACUGCCCUACAUUUUCUUGCAAACUUUGAGGAACAUUUUGAAUGAAGGUAACGAAAGAUGCAUGACCACCUUAGUGGAUGGCCAUGUGAAAUGCAUACACAUAUAUAUAGCGCCUAUCGGUGUCACACCCAUAUUUUAAGAGCAAAAUAGGAUGCAUAAAAGACUCAUAUGUGCCCCAGGAAUAGUCGCACACAUAAGUAGACAAAUCUCAAAUGUACCAUUGCAGUGUUUAUUACAUAGCGGAAUAUAAUAAAUCACAUAGUCUCAUACAAAAAUGAUAGCAUAAAGUAAUCCACGCUCUCGACGGAAGCUCCACACAGGGACACUGUUGACUGGUUGACUCCAAACCUAGUACUCAUAACGGUAAUCCUCAUUCCAGUCAUCUUCAUUAUCAUAUCCUGAGGUGUUGGGAAAUUGCAAGAGUGAGCACAUAUCAUACUCAACAAGUAUAACCAGGGGUUCAUGAGGCUCAAAUAGCUGACACUGGUUUGACUGCAGUUAGCUUUUAAUAGUGGAUAGCAUGUUCAUAAUUAAUGAGCAAUUGUCAAGGUAGCAUAAAUAAUCCAUUAAUCACAUGAUCAAGUGUAAGCAUAAUUAAUCUCAUAGCAUAAACGGUAAUCAAAUGAACAUAAUAACAUAAUAAGCUCAUCAUCUUAAUGUAGAUGUCCCCAAGGCCGCUCCUGACCGUGAGCUCGGCUAGUAUACCAGUUUUACACUCUGCAGAGGUUGUACAUCUUUACCCAUGAGUCAUGAUUUACCCUUUCGUCCGAGGGGAUCAGCCUCUUAACCCACUUCCAAGGAAGGUCGGCAGGGAUCACUAUGAAGCCUUUCAAAGGUUUCGUCUAACAAGUUAGGGCCAUUAGAUUCACUCGGCAGGCAGAUAUAGAGCCCCUCUUCCAUGGCACAUAACCCGCAGCCUAUACACACGGACAGAGGCCACACUAUACCCAACGUGUCUAGCCAUUCUUACGCCAUUUAAGGUAACCGCUAACAAGCUAGAAAAAAGUCCUCAUACUGAGCUAAAGCCAGAGCCAUUAUAGCCCUCAUGGUUGCACUCUUAUCCCGGGUGAUCACGUACAGGCAAAUCAUCAAGUUACUAAAAAGUCAUUUUUAUCAUUUAUUACUUAACAUUAAUCUAGCCACAGGAUCAUGAUCACAGAAAUAAAAUCCAAAUGCUAUACUUGCCUUGAUCAAAGCUCUCCUAAGCCUGCUGGUCUUCAAAUGCUUGAGCUUGAGCACCAACGUACAGCUCACCGUCUAUUCCCAAACAUCAAUCAACAACACGCAAUCCAAUGGAGACAAUCAUACACAAAGCAAACAAGGUAUAAUUAGAACAUUACACCAAACAGUGGUAAAACAAAUAUAAAAGUUUAUGAAAAUAUUCUACGCAGCGCUACGAUCACACAAACGUAAAGUUCACGACAAUCGGAGUUAAAACGGAGAAGUUAUGCAUUUUCCAAGAUUUCCUAUAGAGAAAUAAUUAAUUAAAUAGUACCAGGAAAUUAAAAAGUUUCAAAACAGUAAACUAAUAUUUCUAUCAUGUAGAGCAUUUAAAUACGAAGCUAACGCAAUUCGAAUGGGUCAAAUCGGACUUAAAAUGAGCAUUUUAUAACCAAAACAGUUUCAAUGGCAUUUCUGUAAAUUCAGGAAAGCGUAUUUUGACUAACACGAUCGGAAAUGCGUAUUCCAAUCAAGAAAACGUAUUUCCCGAAAGGCGCUUGGACUGCGCGUUAAAAUGUAAAACUUUCCAGGGGCUCUUAAACAAAAAGUGCAGCGAACCGUUUUCUUCUAAUCUGGGCGCUUGGUUUUGGAUCCUACGGUUGAGAUCGCUCCGGGGAAAAACGGGCGGCGGGCCGGCCGGAGCUAUGCCUUCUCACGGCGGCGCGCCAUUGAAGCCGCCCUGGAGCUCGCCGUCGCACGCAGUUUCCGCGAAAACAAGCACGAAACGGAGAACAAAAAGUACCGGUGCGAAGAGAAGGGAGAGGCGAGCUCGCCUACGGUAUUCUUUCGGCCGGAGAUGGCUCAGAGAGGUGCCACUAUGCGCGGCGGCGGAAUCAACCCUCGGCGAGAUCCAACUCGGUGUUGUGACGAGAUUAGACGGUUUUCUUGGUGCAUAGAUGGAAAAGGGGUGCGCGGGCGAAGCUAGGAGCCUAAAUAGGGCUCGGUUGGAUGCGAUUAGGAGGGAAAUCCCGGGAUAUCGGGCUUGGCUCGAUCCGGCCGAGUCCAACUCCCUCACGGCGAGAGGAAGGAGGAGAGCUGCGCGCUGACAAGUGGACCCGGGAUGUCAGCGAGACAAAGAGAGAGGAGGGUGCGGGCUGGCUGGGCCACGGGGAAGGAAAGGAAAUUGGGCCGAGACAAGGGGGAGGGAGAAUGGGCCGCGGCUCCAACGGGAAAAAAAAGGAAGCUGGGCUUGCUGGUUUCCAGGGGUUUCCCCCUUCUUUUUUUUUCCUUUUUUUUUCAAUUCUUUUUCCCAGGAGUUUUUGAGCAAAACAAUUAAAAUAAAACAGCACAAAAAUAACUAUGCUCCAGCAUGAAUGCAAAAUCACAUUUCAAACCUUAUGAUGAUUUUUAUUCUCCACAAAAUAAUUUAUUUGCUAUAUCCAAUGCCCAAAAAAAAUACUUAAAUAAAACAAAUUACUUCCUAUUAAAUAAAAUUCAAAUUUUGGGUGUUACAAUCGGCCGGGCCGGCAGCCCCCAAUCGUGUGGUGAGUGAGGACGAUGUGAUAUUAGAGGCCAAUUUGGCAACAUGAAACUGUCGGCCAGCAAAUGCACCCUCAAAAAUAGAUACAAGAGUGGAGCACCAAAACCAGCAAAUUAAUGCUAAUAGACUGGUAGGCAUCCUCCAUGAUGUGUUCCAUUACUUGAUCAAAUUCAUCUUGUGCAUUGUAUCAUCGGUCAUGUUCUAAACAGCUUGCAUGGAUUCUCAAUUUGGGGUUCUAGCUAGCUAGAUAGGUGUAUAUAUAACAAAUAAACGUCCUCUUCUAGGUGUAUGUAGGAAAAAGGAGCUGUCGAGUCACCCUAAAUGAGGUCGAUAACGCCACAUAUAUGUUCCGGCCAAUAACCAAAACAAACUAGAUAGGUACAUACAAGGUGAAACGCACACGUGUAUCUUUGCUAUGUACGGUUGAUGUCCGUGCGUGGAUGUGUGUGAUUGCGUCUUGACUUAGCUGAUAGCAUGUGCUGAUGUAGCUAAACACCUGAAAGGUCCUAAUAUGGCUAGAGGGGGGGUGAAUAGCCUAUUUAAAAAUUCUACAAAAUCACUAGAGCAAAAGAUUAGUAAAUAACAAAGCGAAGCUUUUUGCUCUAGCUCUAAAGGGGUGUUUGCAAGCCACUUACCCAACAAUUCUAGUUGCUAAGAUCUCUAUGCAUACAAGAACUAAGUCUCUACAAGUCAAAGUAAGCAACUAAACUAAUUACACUAGUUUGCGGUAAGUAAAGAUAAGAUGAGAUAUUUAUACCGCCGUGUAGGGGAUAAACCAAUCACCAAUAUAAACAAUCAAGCACCGGGAGAAUGCCAAUCAAACACAAUUGAGACACCGAUUUUUCUCCCGAGGUUCACGUGCUUGCCGGCACACUACGUCCCCGUUGUGUCGACCAACACUUGUUGGUUCGGUGGCUAAGAGGUGUAGCACGAACCUCGUCCUCACUAGGACACCACAAGAACCCACCCACAAGUGAGGUAACUCAAUGACACGAGCAAUCCACUAGAGUUACCUUUCGGCUCUCCGCCGGGGAAGGUACAAGACCCCUCACAAUCACCGGGAGAUGGCCACGAACAAUCACCAACUCGUGCCAAAGCUCCUCCGCUGCUCCAAGCCGUCUAGGUGGCGGCAACCACCAAGAGUAACAAGAAAACCACAGCUAGAACGAUCCCCAAGUGCCACUAGAUGCAAUCACUCAAGCAAAUGCACUUGGAAUCACUCCCAAUCUCACAAAGAUGUUUAAUCUAUGAAGGAGAUGAGUGGGAGGUGUUUGCUUAGGCUCACAAGGAUGUCAAGUAUGUUAGAAUGCCAAGUGUGUGAGCCCCAAGCCGGCCAAACACGUAUAUAUAGCCCCUCAAACGAAUAGAGCCGUUGGCUCUUUCACUAGGCAAAAAAAAAUCGGGAUCACCGGACGCACUUAAAGGGGCACCGGACGCUCACAGGGAGCCACCGGACGCUCAACACCCAGCGUCCGGUGCUCAGCUAACCGCCAUGUGUCACUAGCCGUUUGAAGUCGACCGUUGCCGCCAACGGCUACUGCGCACGCGCGCCUGCACAGCACCACCGCACGAUGAGCACCGGACGGUCCGGUGCUCACCGGACUCGUGCGCAGAGAGUUUGUCAAACUCGCGACCUCACCGGACGCUAGGCACCGGACGGUCCGGUGCUCACCGGACUCGUGCGCAGAGAGGGUUGCAAAAACCCCUCACACCGGACGCGCACCACCGGACGCUCAAGCCAGCGUCCGGUGCCUAUCGUCCGGUGCCUUACCCUAGCUGGGCCAGGCACUGUCUGCACACCGGACGCUCAGACACAGCGUCCGGUGCCUCUAAGCCAGCGUCCGGUGAGUGUUUUCUCAGCGAGAAACACUCCCGCGACUUCACCAAAUUUCCCUCCGGCGCAAUAGAAAAUAUGCACUUCAUUUUCUCGAAAAGCGCCGAAUCCCGCCUCGCAAGCUCGGUGGGAGGGAGAGAGGAACCCAUCCUCUCUCAACCCUUCAAACUUCAACUCCCUUCUCAAAGUGUGCCAACACCACAAUGUGUAAACCAACAUGUGCACGUGUGUUAGCAUUUUCACAAUCAUUUUCUUCGAAGGAGUUAAGUUAGCUCACUAGGUUCUAAAUGCAUGCACAUGAACAAUGACACCUAGUGGCACUUGAUAACCGCUUAGCCAAAGAAUUCCCCUCUUUAUAGUACGGCUAUCUAUCCUAAAUGUGAUCACACCCUCUAUGGUGUCUUGAUCACUAAAACCAAAACCCUAAGCAAUACCUUUGCCUUGAUCUCCAUAGGGUUUGUUUUUCUCUUUCUUCUUUUCCAAGUUGAGCACUUGAUCAUCUUGUGGUCAUCACCAUCAUCACCAUGAUCAUCACUUGCUCCAUCACUUGGCAUGUACCAACCUUAUUAAGUCUACACACACUUAGUAUAGAGGUUAGUACUUAGGGUUUCAUCAAUUAUCCAAAACCAAACUAGGGCUUUCAACACCCCUCACCAAAUUAAAUAGCCCUAACCUGCUACUCGGCUUUGUCAUGACUCACGUGCGUCCUUGAGGCCCCUAGUUCCUCGACAUCGGUGUGUGUUGUACCAUCAUCGUCUCUCAAUCUACCCCUUGCUGAUGAAGAACCACCAAACAUAUAUUCCCUUUAUUACGCUGGAGUCGUAUAGAUCGAUUUGAGAGGUGCAAAGAUCCAAAUCGAUCAUUCAAAGCUAAAAUUUCAGGAGACACAAGGAAAUUUUCCCAUGGUUCGGUUGGCCACAAAGGCUGACGUACUCCAUGUUGUUAAGGUUAGCCACAAAGGCUAUGGAGUCUCUUGCAACUCACUCCUCUUCUCCAACCUAUCACCAAAUCAAUAAGUUGGAGGAUUUCACUAAUCACAAAGGGUAAUACAAACUUCUCGAUGCUCAACCACAAUGGAUUGGGAGCUUCCGGGCGACCGCUAACCGUUUAGGAGCCAAGCUCCAAGAGUAAUGAACACACCAAGCGGCUAGAGAUUCGCCAAGUGCUUGAGAACGGAAGAGGAUGAUCUUCUUGAGCUUUCUUACACUCUCUAAAGUCAAAUCCUUCAAGGAAUCACAAAGAUUUGAGCAAGGGAGUUGAAGCACUAAGCUUGGGAGAGAGAGAGAGAGCUUCUGUCAUGAGUCUGAGUGAAUGAGGAACAAGAUAACCGUUAGGGGCGAAGGGGAUAAUAUAAGUACCAUCCACAUCACCCACAAAAUGGUGGGUCAACAGACCUGGAACCUCCAUGUCAGAGCCCAGAGGUUCCACGCUGGCCAGAGCAGAAAGGAAUUCAACACGGCUGGCUGUUUGUGGCUGGGAUAAUUUGAGAUAAGUGAGGUAUGAUAAGCACUUGGUUUCAUCCCAAACCACUAUUAUUAUCCCCCUUGAUAGUACGGCUUGUCCUAUGACCCAAAUUCAAAAAGCAAAAAGAAAUAACUCACCCUUGAAGCUGUUGCAAAGCAUCCAUUUGAAUUUGGGGGGUCUCCUCCUUUGUUGAUUGGCACCCAAGACUGAUGCUAUGCUGCCACACACACUGGUCAAAGUCAUUAGUUCUUUAAUUAUGCUAUCAACAUCACUAAAACCCACUUAGAGCUUGAUUGCACUUACACUAGCCACCAAGCAUCCUUUGGUCAUGUUGCUGAGCUCACCACAAAGGCUUUUGUAAUAAAGGCAAGUUUUGCAUGCCACUAAGGCUCAUCACCACCGACUAACUCUCUCGGUCACCUUGACACCAUCCACUAUAUGAUACUUCUUGCACACACCAAGAUGUCACUACUCUAUGCACAAGACCCUUCUUGGAGUGCAAGCCUAUUAAAGCCCAACAUUCAAUUUGACGACAUCCUGAUACUGUAUGGUGGAGGCAUAACUCUUUCAUACAGAGUUCGAUGGAGACCCAUGAAUACUUGAUGAAAAUAUUAUUAGAUAACCUUUAAAAUAUAUUUAGUCCUACCUCGAUAUCAUAUUGGCAAUGCCUCUAAAUCAUCACAAUAUAUUGCUGAUGGUCCUGUUAGGUGUUGCGUCACAGUUUAUCGGGCCUUGGGCCUUGUAAUCACCCUUGUACUCCGGACAAGUUGGAGUGUGCUCCUACGAGGUGGAGGUGGAGCAUGCCCCCAAGGGCGCCCUAGGUCAUCCUCUCCUUGGCCACCUCCUCCUGAGUUGUUGUCACCUAUUCUCUUAUAUACUUUUGUUGUGAUUACUUUUAGACUUGGCUUUUGCUUAGAUUAUCAUUGAACAACUUUGUCAUCGUUGGUUUGUGAAACCCUAACUUUGAGCAAUUUCAAAUUGUGUUUUAUGUGUUUUUGCUUGUGUUCUCAAAUUCAUUUGCAGAAAUUAGCCUUCUUUGCGAAGACAAUCAUGCCUCAUGUGGUUGAUAACCAACAAAGCAUUAGUGUAGUGAUUGUAAGGAUUUUAACUUUGAACCUCCUAGAGCUGUUUCAUUAAAAAAACCUCCUAGAGCUGUUUUGAUCACCAGCGUCGAGUUCUCCACCAAAUUUGACCUAUCUUUCAAAAGAUCAUGCCUAGUUCUCCCGCUAUGAUACGUUGGUGCUCAUCAAGUUAUCCAGUGUUUGACAUAGUGAGGAAUAGUUAUUGUUUCUUCUCCAUUUCAACUUGUAUCUUGGUCAAACUUGUUCCAUAUAUAUACAUCCAUAGAAUCUAUAUGAAUCUGUCUAACAUAUCUUAACACAUAUUAAUCUUAGUGAUUAAUUGGUAUAUCGUCUGAAUCACCAAAACUACUCAUAACCAUGCACAUGGGCACAUGAUGCUUACAAAAGUGCCUAGCCUCGUUGAAGUUGCCUGGUUUGCCACAUUGUGGCAUGUUGCUUACCACCAAAAGAAUAGAUCAUGAAUGAUUUUCUAAUUUCACUUGGCUUGUUAAGCUUGUCUUGAAGGACCUCGAGAGACUGGGUAACAUAUAUUCAUAUUGACAAAGUCACCACGCAUGUCUUGUUGAUGGAUAGGUUAGGGGUGGACCAACCCUUGCCCUAGCUCACCAUAUGCUAAAGUCAUUAGCAAUCCAUGUCUAGCUAUUGGGUAAUACCGAAGAUGCAAAGUAAAAGUGUUAGUCUUGCUAAAGUUGCUCGGUCUGCCACUAGGACAUGUUGUCUAUCAUCGAAAGCAUAGUUACUCGUAAAUUCAAGCACCCUUGUUACGGUGAGGCAGAGUCUCAAUCCGUGGUGGAUUGGUUCCACGACAGGAAACCUUUAACUAGCUAAAUUACAAUCAGAGGUGGGGCAGGCAAGACCAGUGUUGGGGAUGUUUUUGCAACUAGUCCUAGCCAUUUUGUUUAAUUUAGGUGAAUCAUGUAAUGUUUUUUUUAGAUUAAGGAAUAGAAACAUCCCAGCCUUCACAUUCACAAGUGAAUGCUUAAGGCACAAACUUACAAGACCUGGACAUAGUCCUCAAACCCGCUAAGCAGGCAAUCAAGAAAAAACCUGUGACCUUACAUAAAAGGCACCUGAAAAAAUCAAACACUAGCAAGAUACUAAGCACAAAUCACCAAGCAGGAUCAGAAGCCAAAGCAAAAGGACUCUACGCUUCUAUCCGUUUCUGAUUCUUCUAGCCACAUGAGCCAAAGAGUUGUAGCGCCACUCCUUCCAAAAGACUACAGCCUUGUUUCAUCAUUUUUCCCUCUUCCUCUUUAGACAACAGUGACCAUUGCCUGAUCCAAAAAGUCCCUCUGAAAAUUACCUGCAAGUAGGAGUUAGCCAUUAAAUUUUGGAACACCACAUCAUUUUUAUUCAACCAUAGUACCCAACAUAUGGCAGCAACUCCCACUAAAAUCAGUUUUCUUGGCCCUGGAGCGAAUAUCCUUAUCCAAGAACCAAACAAUUGGUAGGUGCCUUUUGGUGGUUGAAUGUCAAAAGUGAUGAAUAUUGUGUUCCAGACAAAUCUAGCCACCCUGCAAUCGAAGAAUAGGUGUUAGAUGUUUUCAUCCAAGCCACAGAGAUUACACUUAGAAUCACCUUUCCAUCUCCUUUUCAGUAGAUUAUCUUUUGUUAGGAUUACCCCUCUUUUUAGGUACCAUAGAAAAAUCUUAAUUUUUAACGGUACAUUUGCUUUCCAGAACACUUCCUUACUAGAAACACUCUCGGUUUUCAUUAUCUCUCUGUACAAUGACUGUGUUGAGAAGACUCCAUUUUUUUUAAUUUGCCAAAUGAAUUUAUCUGUCAUUGUUUAGAUUGACAGUUAGCACUAAGGAGACAAGUUCGAGCCACUCCUUCAAUCUCUCCCCCACAAUUCCCCGUCUAAAUGAAACAUUGAGCGGAGUUGAACUGAGCUGCUGAGCACCCUAGCUACUGAAACCCCUUUUUUCCUUACUAUCCUGUACAGGUCUGGGAAUUUUUGCAUUAGCGAUUGUUGCCCAAUCCACACAUCCUCCCAAAACCUUGUCUGAUUAUCACUAUUUACCUUGAACCUUCCAUAUUGGAAUAGCACUUCCUUCAUUUCCAUCAAGCCUGACCAAAAGUGUGAGUCUCCCGGGCGCUUUUCUAUUUGGGAUAGGCAUUUGUCCUUGACGUACUUCUUUCUAAGCAUAUUCUGCCAUAAGCCAUCUUCAUUAAAGAGUUUGAACAGCCAUUUACUAAGUAAGCACUUGUUAUGAACUUCCAAGUCUAAAAUUCCUAAUCCCCCCAUGCAUCUUGGCUUACACAGUAUGCUCCAUUUUGCUAGCCUGUACUUUUUCUUAUGCUCAUGGCACUGCCAGAAAAAUCUAGACCGAUAGUAGUCCGGUCUUUUCCGCACCCCUUUAAGUGUGGAACACUAGUAGUUUUACUCGUUCAAAUUUUGCUUAGCAAUAGAAUCUCCUUGAAGGCAUUUCUGACUGACUCCGCUCCUGAUUACACUACUCCACCAAAUAAAAUAUGCAACUUAACUACCGGUGAUGCAAAUGCAAUUUGACUUAUCACACACUCCAGCUGUGUAAAUCACACAGACCGAAUGCAGCAGGACGAUGCAGCUCUGCACCACCCGUUUUACACUGCCUCCUGGACCACUGUACCGGCCUGUCCAUUUCCUGAACUCACGGGCGCGCCGGCGGCAGGUCAACCACGAGACGAGACCUCCCGUUGAUGAAGUGGCUGAAACUGAAGUUGUGCUGGCCGGUACGGUGCGCCAAGCCAAUCAAAUCUUCCCGGCCACUACGGACGGAUGAGGUCAACGCGACGGCGCUCUUUUGUUGUGUGAUGGAUGGACGCAGCACGGCAGCAGCUAAUAAAGCCUGAACCGGCUGGUGCCUGGUGUGGUCGUGUGUGCUUUUUGCUAGUGUAGUAGGUUAGGAUUUGGUCACUGCACACUCUAUACGGUAUAGAGGCUAGCUUGCGCGCAUAUGAUUGGAGAGCCACUCAGAUCGAUCAGACGCAUGUAUACACAUCACCAUCAAUAUAAGAGUGAUCGAUGCGUUUCUCAGCUAUGAUCAUAUCAUCAUCAUCAUCAUCAUUCAGAGGUUCACUACUAGCUGUACUUAUCGACCGAGGCACGCGUUAGAGAUAUAUAUUGCAGAUCGAAUAUAUGCAUGGAUGCGUACCCGUGUACCGUAUACCAUGCAUGGACAGAUCGAUCGACUGCUCGUGCUGCAAUGCAUGCAUGUGCUGCUCGUCCGGAUAGAUUGGAUCCAUCUCUAUCUCUCAACACCAACAAAAUAUGCUGCCGAAAAGAAUGUGAUCGAUCGAUGUGCGUGUGUGCUUAAGCAUGAAGUGUCACGGGUGUUGCAUCGUUUUCCGUCGUCGUUCAAAGAUCGAAUACGGUUCUCCCCUGAAAGCCAGCGGCCAGCCUAGACUAACUGGCUAAGGACGACGACGUAUAUAGUACACACAAGACACAAGUCCCCCCACAGAACAAAUGCAUGCAAGCACAAGACGCAAGCAAGCGUACGUACGUCCGCGGUCGUGAUCAGUGCGAGAUUACACGUAUCAUUUGCGCUUAAUUUGUUUUCCUGAUUCCCUGGAUCAGCACGUACGUACGCCCACACACCACCACUCAAUCAACAUAGUAAGUAUACUAUACCUUUCGUUGAGAACAUGUAUGUGUAUUGUACUUGCACAGUUGCGAUAUCAAUCAUCACCGAAAAAAAGUCUUUCAUUGCAUUGUAGUACCAAAAAAGAAUCCACCAACUGAGGAGUAACGGAAUUGAUGACUUUGUUAGGCACUUAGGCAUGAGCAUUAACUCUGAUCAGCAAGAUAGAUCAACAUCCAUCGCCUACCUUGACUUGUUGAAUAUAUGCACUCCUUUGUUCCAGAAAGAAUGGAAGUCUCGAUCCCCCAGCAUUCAAACAAUCUUAAAUUUGACUAAAUUUAUAGAAAAUACUAGUAAGCAUUCGUGUCUUCAAAAUAUACAUAUUUAUUAUAAAAUAUAUUUCAUGACUAAACUAAUGAUAUUUAGGGUCUAUUUGACACAACUCAUAAUAAUUGUUUUUUUAUAAAAUACUAAUUUCCAAAAUAGCUUGAAAUUGUUUUUCUCGUCCUAGAUACGAGUUGGGAUAAAACUGAAAAAAGUAGUUUAUCCUAGCUUCAUCUUACAUAUUAUAGUCAUUCUAUUCAUUUUUCCAUCUAGGAGUUGUUUUACCAAACACUUAUUCCAAAACAGCCUAGCUUUAAUAAGAAAGUUGCUUAUGAAGCUAUUUUGUAUAAAACACAGCUAUAGAUGAAGCUGAGCUGUAUCAAAUGGGGCAUACGCAUCAAAAAAUAGCAGAGCCGUUUGAAUAUUACUUGGUUAAAAUUUGGAUUGGUUUGACUGGUCAGGAUAGAUAUUUGGAGUAUAUAUGUACUCUAUAUAUAUGUCUCACAAAAAGUGUCAUCGUUUAAAUUUAAAAAAAAAGUGUCAUCGUAGAAUUCAAAUUUUGUAUUACAAAGAAUGUCACUAUAAGCAAACAUGCAGGGAUACUUUCUAGCCCUACUCACACAUGAAAGACACGAUAAACUAUCUUUUCAUAAGGGUAUGACCAUUUGACAAUAGAAUUGUCUUGUUUGGUACAACUCUGAUUCAAUAACGGUAGUACAUCUAAAAGAGAGAACUAGGGGAAGCAGAUAGUUUUUUUUUUAGAAAAUCAGGAGAGGUUUCCCCCUACUGUAAAUUUAUUAAUUGAAACAAAAGCACAAAGUCCAGAAGGUUUACAUCAUGAAACAUAGAACCCCUUAGGGCACUUACAAUGCAAGACUCUAUCACAGAGUCCAAGACACUUAAUUACAUAUUAUUUAUGGUAUUUUGCUGAUGUGGCAGCAUAUUUAUUUUAAAAAUAGAUAGAAAAAAUAAGACUCCAAGUCUUAUUUAGACUCCAAGUCCACAUUGUUCGAUGUAAUAAAUAACUUUAGACUCUAUGAUAGAGUCUGCAUUGUGAGUGCCCUUAGGGGACUGGAUUUUAAAAGAGCUCAACUUGAGAAACUAUUCUUUUACCUAAAAAAUAGCUUGCGAAUACAUGCACGCAAACCCUACUUCUAUGAGCACCUCCGAAAGACUGUGCUGAUAUAUCUCGAGAUUGAUAAAGUCACCAAAGAUACCUCAUUGCCGACGAGAAUGUCGGCUACCCCUAAAAGUAUAACGCCGUUAAAUCCUAGAAUAUAGUACAUCUAAAAGAUAGAGCUAGGGGAAGAUGAUAGUUUCAACCCCUUCUGGCGCAUGUCCACCCCUUACGGGACUAGAUUUUAAAGAGCUCCACUUGAGAAAACAUAUGUACGCAAACUUCACCUUCGAAAGACUGUGCCAGCUCAUUUUGAAAUUGAUGAAGUCACUACAAACGUCUCACUACCGAUGAGAACGUCGUCUGUCUACUACUGGAAAUACAGCACGUUAAAUUCUGAACUAAAUCUAGAAAAAUACGAGCACAUAUGCCAAGUUAAUUCUAAGUGGACAAGUUUUACGAUAAAGAAACUAACCAACUGAACUAGUCUUAGGCUUUAGUUCGUAGAUGAGUCUUGUUCGGUAUGGGCAGCACAGCACCUCAUGGAGGAGAAAAGAUCGAUGGUGGAGCUAGCAGGUACGGGUGGAAAAGGAGAUCUACUACCAGAGGCCAAACGCGUUGACACAUGGGCGACCAAAGGAGACCGGCCACUGAGAAGAUAGACGAGCCAUUCGCCUUGAUGGAGAGCUCCAUGCUCCAUUGGAUGUGACAGUGCAUGCGUCCACCAAUGGCCGCCGAAUGGAGAAUCUCUCCUUUACUGUUCGUUUCCAGUGCAAAAUCAUAUCGAUCGGCUUCUUUUUCGGGGGGAAGCGGCGAGUGGUAGGCGUAGGAGACGCGAGCGGACGGCCUUUGACGUGCCUUUGCAAAUUUUAUUCCCUCGGUCUCGGCUGGCUAGCUUUGUCGUGGCUCCUCCCUUCCCGGCCUUUAUUUCAAUUCUCAGAUCAUGGACAUGUUGUUCCUUGGUCCUCGCGACACCCCCAUUGGAGGCAUCUAUAACCUAGCUAGCUAAGCAUAUCGUAAAGCUAGCUCCCUCGUUUUGAAAGAAGGGGACAACUCUUAGACUACUAUCAUUGCCGAUCGGUGUGCUGAAUUUGUUCCCUCUGCUGCAGUGCGUAUACGUACGUGCGCGAUUCCUUUGCGAAAUUCUCGUUGCCCACUUCGUUUUGAAAUAUCUCUAUUCAUCCUUGCUUUUGGAGAGGAGAGUACGUCUCAAUUUGGUUCUGUGCUGCUGGAAAGGAGUAGGUAACUACAAGCCUGUUCGUUUAAGCUGAGUAUUUUUCUCUCAUAAUAAAUUAGAGAAUAUAGCUCUUUUGCCAAGAAAAAAAAACAUGUGCUUUCUCUCUCUCUCUCUCUUGUUCUUUUUCCUUUCUUUGUGUGUGUUUUGGCUAGCAUAUUGCUACCCAAGUUGUACUUCCUUCGUGUUAAUGAGAAAAGGUCCGUGGGGGCUUUUGCCUCGUUAUUUUCGGUAAUAUAAAAAUCUUCCAUGUAAACUAUUUACACAAUAGACAAAGGGUAGUCUUGGUUGGAGUUCGACCAGCAAAAAAUAUUGAAGAUAAGAAAGCAAGUUUCUUUUUCUUUAAUUCGUAUGGACUAUGUUUCUAGAGAUGGUAUUAUUUUCUAGGAAUUGAAAAGUGGUUGUAGACAAAAUAAAAUAAUCUUGAGAAGUCACAGGUCAUGCGAUUUUUUGCGUGAAUGUGGGUGCGGUUCCUAGGAUUCAAACUCAAGAUUACCUCACGCAAACUUCCUCUACCACUAUGCCAAGUCUUAUACUGAAUAUUUGGCCCCUAAGCAAUUUUAAAUGAAAAAGUUUCAGCUACAAAAUUUAGAUGUUGUCAAGCAUUAAAAUUUUGGUGUAGGGUGUAGCUUCACCUGAAGUUGAUUGAAAAGUUCAAAAACUCAAUUUCAAUAAUUUAAUAUUUAAAAUAUAUUUUUGGGAGUCUAAAUGAUUUUAAAUGAAAAGAAGCAAUAAGUUGUGGACAUCUUCGAGCAUUGCAACUUUGAUAUAAAGUUCAUCUCCCUUAAUUUCAUUUGAAAAAGUUAUUUUUUGGAUUCACCUAUUUUUAGAGGCAUAUCCAAUUACCAACUGCGGUUGAAAAUGAAUUUCUAGAGGUGAUUGGUAUUUUCUACCAACUAGAAAUAGCAUUUGUAGAGGCAGCUUGUGUUAUCAAGUAUACCUGAAAAUGGAGGGCAUUUCUAGGGGCAGGAAACACCAACUACCAGUGGCGGAGCAUGGAAGCAACCAAAGCAGGGGCUGCGCUUUAGCAAGCAGCACUUCAACUAUGCUGAAGGACAACUUCUAUACGUCAAGUGCAACAGUUAACAAGCACACAUGGAGAUUUGCAAUGGCCAAUACAUGGAGGAAGGAACCCCAGCACCUAGGAAAAGGUGAGGGCUUUCCUUUGGAACGAAGGGAAAGCCAACUUGGCUUCCUUCUAGGCCUCUCCGUCGCCCCCACCAGGCCCCCUCCCGUUCGCCUUUGGCAGGCUUGCCGGAGCGCAUCGGGAGCGGGGCCUUCAGCCUUCGAUAGCUAGUUGUAGUAGUUUUAGUUUAUGUAGCUUCUUCAAAGUGCCUUCAUGGCGUUUGCUCCUUGUGGAGUUCGCUGUCCGGGAAGUGUCGCCGCCGCCGUUGUUGCCGUGUUCAUCGGCUUCGUCGUUGUCGUCGAAAUCGCAACCCAGGUAAGCGUGAAUAAAAUAAAGUCGCUCCUUCAUCCCCUCGCCUUUCCCCACUGUGGCUCAGAUCCUCCGUCUUCUACCUCCGCUCCGCCAGAUCUGAGCUCCGACUCGCUUCCUCCGCAGCUCGCCUCCGCCCUCACCCCUAUUUUGCAACCAUAAAUCCGGUCGAUCCAGACUCCAUGCCAGCUCUUCAACCGAUGUUGGCCCGACAUCUUCGUCAUCCCCUGAGAUUCGACAUCGAGCUUCAUCCUCAACCUUCGGCGACGACAACAAUAUUACUCUUCGGUCGUCUGGAAAGUUCUUCUUCAUUGGCUCCGUCGGCCCAACUUCAACCGUCGCAACGCGCGGUCUCUCCAUCUGGGUGUAUGCGCCAUCGGUUGUAGAAUAACACUUGUGUAUAUAUAUAUAUAUAUGUUGUUGUCAAAAACAAUACAUGGAGGAAGGGGUGGCGAGCGCCGAGCUUCACCUCCACUACCCUCCACCAGUUCCAACUGCCUCUAAAAAUCGGUUUUGAGAAGUCGUAACCUCUCGGACCAUGACUAGAAGAAAUAAAGGCAGCUCUAGCUUAUAUAGUAUUGAUUGCAAGAUAUGGUGCAAAAUUUGAUACCAUAGAAAAUAUGAACAAAUAGAAAAAGUCUAGUCUACAUUUAGAUAAAAAAAAUUAUAUUUGUGCAAAAUUUUCUGCAUGGAAUUUUCUUCUACUAAUUGUCUAGCUAACUACCCCCCCUGAUAAGCCUCUUGCGCCUGGUUAACUAAAGCACAUAGCAUUUCCCACUAGUUUUGAGCAAUUCGAUCAGAUCGUGAGUCGUGACGCAAACGUAUUGAACAAUACGAAUAUCUGCGUACGAAAAAGGAGCCACUCCAACGAUGAUCAUUCGUGUGGAACUGCAAAGUUUGUCCUCCAUCAGCUCUCCAUGUAUGUGUAAAGAAUAACUCCAUCCUGGAUUGGUCUUUAACUCUUUAUGCUUUGUGCAGAGGUUUAUAUUGGACUUGUAUUGUCUUCAGCUUUUUAUUGAGCUGCUAUGCAUAGUAGAUUGGUAUAGGUACUCGUACCUUUUUUUCUUGUGUGGACAGAAUAUCCUUGGUAGAUUCUCUUCUGCGGGCUUAUAUGGUUUAAAUCGAUCGUAAAGAAAAAAAAAAUCGGAGCACUGACAGAUAUGUGUAUAAUCAUUAGUAGCACACCACCGAUUGAACGGCUCUUGUGUUGGGAGAACAUAUGCGCCGUGAACAAAAUAAAAGGCAUAGGGUCUGUCAUGGUUUCAUGUUUUCGCCAGGCACUAAACUUAGCAAUCAUAUGUGUAGAUGGCCGUCGUAGUGCAAUGACGCAGCCAAUGCUACCAAUAUAUAUAUAUAUAUAUAUAUAUAUAUACAGGAGUUGGAUGAAAAUGCUUUGGUCUGCCAAAUGCUACCAAGAGUAUAUGUAUACAAAAUGGCAGUAAUGCAUAUUGUAUAUAGGCUGGGCAAAAUUUGUAUGGAGCAACAAGGCACGCCACAGCGUGUCAAAUUUUUCGCCUGGGGUUAGUGUCCCUGCAGGGUCGGGUACAAUGCAAAAUCAGACUUGCAGAGGAAAGGUGUAGUGAAGAACUCGAUUUGUGAUGCAUGUGUGCAACGCGCGGCAGAUGAAACCCCGGCAUAUAUACUGUUUGGCUGUCCACAUGCUGCACAAUAUUCUGGAACGCACUGCAGAUUCCAACAAACCAACAGUGGCAAGUUCAGGCUCUCAAAUUAAGAAAUUCAGUCGCCGAAUCAUAUAAGUACCAAACAAGCAUUCCGGCACCUUCAUGUUAUUGUCUUAGGGAUGAAGAAAGUAAUAAUUAGCAAACUGCAAAUGCAGAAUUAAUGUUAUAAACCUCUGGCCAUUUGAGAGCCAAAAUCAAGUAAUAUAUCAGGUGGGGUAUUCUCUCCCCUCCCGUCGAAUUUUUCUCUGUUUAUCAGGAGGGUUGUUUCUGCAAAUCUUUGAUUAGCAGUGCUCUACGAAAGCGUGCGGAUGGUUAAGAGGUGGAGACGUAGAGGAAGUAUUGAGGUACAUUUUAGUGGAGGACAAAAUCAUCAUUGAUACCUAAACCGGCCGUCAGCCCAUGCAUCACUUGUAGGUAGUCUGGAUGCUGGGCAUGCAGUGGCAGAGGAACAGAACCGUCUGUACGCAAUAUCUCUUCGCGCUGCCCAUUCAAGUGGCAGGAACAGAACCAUGCAAGCAUCCGAUUGGCGCGCAAUCGGGAGGCUGCGGCCGGCCAGGCUCGAAAGCUUUGCGAAAAGGCUGUGGCGCGCAGGGGCAUAUCAACACAUGCAGACAUCGUGCGGUGCAGACUGCAGCAGGACGGUGCAGAAGCGAGCAGCGGUGUGGCCCGCGCGCGAUGCAGGCAGGCAGGCAGAGCACGUACGUCGUCCAUCCGUCCGCCAUGCACAGCGCCAGCACGGCGGGCGUACGAGGGCCGGGCGGCAGUGCGGCCUAAUUCCACGUGAUCGAUCGAGGAGGAUCUCGAUCAGAUCGCGGCGGAACGGAACCCGUCGGCCGGCCGGCCGGCCAGGGACGACAGGCCACGCGCGCUACCUGACCGGCCGGUGGUGUACGUGCUGCCACUACCACCACUAUAAGCUAGCUAGUGCAGGCAGGCAGGCAGGCAGGCGGAGGUCACUAGCUAUAGAGGGCCCCAGAGCGCGCGACGAGCAAGUGAAACGGCCGAAGCCGAACCCGAGCGAGAGAGAGAUGGAUGGAGCUAGGAGCACGUGGCACAUUCUCGAUCUCUGUUUCAAUUCGUCCGUCCCUCCCUCUGCCAUGCCUGCACCGGCCGGCCAUGAGAAUGAGAGCGCACUCUCUUGCACAGCACCAUGCCGCCCGAUGAUUGCCAUCGUUGCCGCGUCGUCACUAGUACGUGUCUGUGCUCGCCUUCCACUAGCUUUAGGCCUUUUAUUUCGGCGGCCGGCCGGACGGACGGGCGUUUCUGGAUCGGCGGCGGAUAAUGCAGGUAGGUUCCAGCGCCUUCCCGGGCUAGGAAGGCAGGAACAGUAGUUUGUUUGAGUUUACCAGUAGAAUCUAUUAGCUAUUUAAUAGUAUAUUUUUCUUUUACAAUAAAUUAGCGAAUAGUAUUUUCUGUUAUGGUUUACCAAGCAAACUAUUCUUGAGAGCUUUCAUUCCCUAGGCACAAACACAAAGAUCAAUAUUCUAGAAAGCCUAACAAUACAUAAUGUAACACCCUAAAUUUUGUUCUUUUAGAAAUAGAUGAAAAAUAAUUUAAUUUUGAAUUUUUGUGCUCAUGAAACAUAAGAAAAGUAAUAUUUUUUAUUAAAAUAAAAAUUUAAUAUAAGGCUUAGCAACUAUUGUGUGUAAAUCAUGCUGGUGCAUUUUAUUUUUGAGAUGAGUGAUUUUGACCAAAGUUUGAAAUAUUUCAAACAGAUUUCUAAAUGGAUUUGAAAUAGGCUUUGGAAUAAAAGAAAUGGGAAAAAGAAAAUAAAAAGACAAAACCCCUCCUCUCCCUCUUCCUGGCCUGAUGGCCAAAUCCCCCGCGCAACGGCCCACAGUACCCCGCAGCCCAGCUCCCUCUUCCGGCCCAAGCCGCGGGCUGAAGCCCAGCAGCGCAGGCGCGCCCUCCCCUCUCCCUCUUCUCGCUGACACCUAGGCCCCACUUCUUUGUUUCACCGAUAGGUGGGUCCGCCUGGUCAUCCCCUCCACCGAGCGUCACCAGGCCGGACUCGACCGGGAGUUUCCCCGCCGAAUCGAUCCCCGGGGAAACCGCGAAUUCGUUUCCUUUUCCGCCAACCGAGGUCCUAUAAAGUGUUUUCUACAACUCCGCAGUUUCCUUUUGCUCCUAAACCGCGAAUCAAAGCUCUAGCCGCCACGAACGCGGAAGCUCGGAUCUCGCCGAAAACCGCGCGCGUCCUCCACCGCGGCGAGCACUCCCUCCUUCCCAUCAGCGCGAACCGAGCAUCUUGGUGAGUCCGCGGUGAGCUUCUCCUUCACCUGGCGUUUUCCUUUUGUUAAACGGUGCACCGGAACACUUUCCCAACCAACUCCGGCGAGGAGCAAGGCCCUCCGGCCAUGGCGCCACCGCCGGAGGCUCUGUAGCCGGCCAGCACCCCCUCUUCCCUCCUGGGAUUGAUCCAGAGCCGUUCGAUCUAAAACCAACGCGCCAGAUUAGAACUUACCCCUUCGGGGUGAUUUUAUUAAAGAGCCCCUGACGUUUUUAUAUAUGAAACCCGCGGUCCAAAACGUACAGCAUCAAAUACGCUUUCUGAGUUGGAAGACGUAAAGUCUGCCGGCUUGUUUCCAAAUUACGUUUUCAGUAUUUACAGUUUUGCCACCAGAUUUAAAUUGCUUAUAACAUGCUCAUCUUAAAUCCGUUUUGGUCCAUUCAAAUUGCGUUAGGUUCGUAAUUAUGAGCUUUACAUGUUAGUAACAUUAUUUUCUCAGUUUGAAAUCUUUUAAUUUCGUGAUCCUACUUAAUUAAUUACCUUCCUAUAUAAAAUCUUAGAAAAUUCAUAACUUCACCGUUUUAAUUCCGAUUUUCGUGAUCUUUACGUCUAUGAAAUCGUAGCGAUGCGCAGAAUCAUUUUAUAAACUUUUCAUACUGUUUUUAUAUGAUUGGUGUACUGUUCUAAUAGUAGACUUGUUUGCUUCGUGUAUGUUUUCUCCGAUUGUUUGUGUGAUCGAUGAUCGAGUUUAGACGGGGAGCCGUUUCGGUGAUCAAGAUCAAAGCUUUGGCAACAAGUGAGACCAGCAGAACCAAAAGGAUUAGCAAGAUCAUUGGAUCGAGGCAAGUAUAGCAUUUGGAUUAUAUUUCUGUGACCCGUGAUCCUGUGACUAGAUUAAUGUUAAGUAAUAAAUGAUAAAAAUGACUUUUUAGCCACUUGAUGAUUUAUCUGUAAGUGAUAACCGGGACAACAGUGCAACCAUGAGGGCUAUAAUGGCUCUGGCUUUAGUUAAGUAUGAGUAACUUUUCUAGCUCGUUAGCGGUUACCCGUUGUGGCGCAGUUGGGGAAUAGCAGACCGUGGAUUCCUGCGGGUGAAUCACACGGACUGACUAAUGAAACCAAGCGGCCCUAACUUGUUAGACGAACCUUUGAAAGACUUCAUAGUGAUCCCUGCCGACCUCCCUAGGAAGGGGGUUAAGAGACUAGCUACCUCGGGCGAAAGGGUAAAUCAUGACUCAUGGGUAAAGAUGUGCAACCUCUGCAGAGGGUUAAAAACUAGUAUACUAGCCGAGCUCACGGUCAGGAGCGGCCUUGGGGAUUCUUGCGGCGGUGAUGAUGAUUCUUGUGUGUUAAAUAUGCCCAUUAUUUAUUAUUUAAUGCUCUACAUUAUUUAUGUCACAUUGAUCAUGAGAUUGUGGGAGCUAUAUAAUCUAGUUGCUAUACUUGUGGAGUUCGACAUGGACUCACUCUUGCUAUUUCCCCCAAACCUCAGGAGAAGUUUAGGCUUGUGAUCAACCAGUCAGUUGGAUCCUGUAGAGUGGAGUUAAUACCCGAAGUUGGAGUUAUCUAUCCGCUGUUUGCUUUUAAAGGUUAUCUCUUUUAUACUAAGUACGUUAUAUAUUUAUGCAUUGUCUUUUGAUAUUACCCCUUAUUUGUAGCUAUAUAUGAGAAUUGACUCCUAAAACUCAUAUAUAGUGUAUAUCUGGUUUUGUCCUUAAAAUCGGGUAUUACAAAGUGGUAUCAAAGCAAUGCUGACUGUAGGACGCAAGCCUAGUUAGAACUGGACGUUUUGGCAUGCUUCUAUCUUUGCUUACUUCUUGCUUUUCGCCUUGACCUUGAUAGUUGCUAAAAGUUAUGCUUACCUCUUGCCUAGUUCUUUUAUAAAAUCUUGUCUCUAUUCUAAAUCCUCUCUCUUUGUCUCUUUAGAUGGAUCAUAACGAGGAGACCUUUGACAAGAAGGAACGAAAGCACCCAGAUUUUCCAACCGUAAAAGCAUUCGACAUGGAGAAGCUUCUAGCCAUGCAAACACAAGUAGUGGAAGGAAUAACUCAGAAUAAGAACUCUCAACAACGUAUCUCAGGACCCGUGAGGAGACAAGUAGCAGAAGCUUGGAAAAAUAUGAGAAAUCAUGGAAGCGUUGGGAGUAAUACAUCAGGAUAUCAGGAUCAAUGCCACUGUUGUGAGCAUUAUGGUCUUCCUUGUCUUCGGAAUAUGUCAUCUAAGAAGGAAGUUAAGACAAAACCAACCUGUGUGACUAAUGAGGAUAAGAAGAGGAAGGCAAAAGCACUAGAGCCGAGAUUGGGAAGUGAUCAACACCCAAAUCCCAAGAUGUCACAUGUAGCUUCAAAUUCUCGUCAGGAAAACUCAAACCUUGGAGAUGAACAGAUUCCCCAAGCUAAUCCCACUGCUCAUGAGGUAUGCAUAGAUGGGUGGACAAUUACUUAUAGAGAGUUUCAACCUCGGAGGAUCAAGCAAUGUAGAAAGAAAUCUAACCAGACAAAGAUAAACCAUCAGAGUAUGCAAGUUGAUAACACACCGAACAACACUUCAGUGGAAAAUAACAUCACAGAGGAACCAGCUAAGAGAAGGUGUUAUCACUGUCAACAAGAAGGACAUUAUAUAAGCUCUUGUCCACAAAAGAAGCAACAGAUGCAUCGUGAAGAUAACCACACUAAGUCUAAGAUAUAGGUGUCCGUGUCCCCUGGUGUAAUAAAAACGCUAGUAGCGAAAGUUGAGUUUGUAUGACUUGUGAACCUUUAAUGCUUAAUUGCUUGUUAUUAUGUUUAUGUUUGAUUUGGAUCUUUGUAAUGAGUGUAAUGAUUUUGUGAAGUUCUUCACAAUUUCAUUUAGUUUAUAGCACUAAGGCAUACGGAAUAAUGGCAUAAGUAGUUGGGUUUGGUUAUAUCCUGUUUCUGUCUUUUGCUGAUUUCUGGAGCAGUCUGCAAUAAUCAUAGUGUAUAUCAAGAUCUGAUCGUGCAAAUUUUACUAAACUUUUCUGGAAACAACUAGACUCCAAGAUCUUUCUCUGACCACAAGAAUCACCCUCAUAGCUGUUAUGGUUUGGAAGUUACAAAAAUCACAACAGGAUACAACUGUGCUGUCAAGAACCUGGACCAGUUUCGGUUGCUUACUGUUUUAGACAUAUAUAACUAUAGAAUUUGGAAGAGUAUUCUAUAGAAAAGUUGUAGACAAUUUUCUAUUCUUUCCAACGGUAUAAGCUGGAACUUAUUUGGAUAAGUAGAACCUGAGAUAUGAUAUUUACAAUUGGAUAUUUCUGUUCUGUUUCAAAAUCUGGAUAGAUCUGGCAAUUCCUAUUCUCAGCCAAGCUUAAAGACAGAAUCUGGGGAAAAGUUGUAUACGAAAGUUGUAAAGGAUUUCAUAAGCUUUUCAACAAUGUAAGGAUCAUCUCCAUAUGAGUUAAGUAGCUCGAGGUAUAAUUUCUGGAAUUUACUGCAUCCUUGCUGAGAUAUUAUCAGGAAGGAUAUUAUGUUUGGCUGUUUUACCUGAGCCUAAAUACAGAACCUAAGGACGUCUUCUACAGGAAAGUUGUAGGGAAUUUCAUAAUCUUUCUAACGGUAUAAGCUACAACUCUAUUGGAUUAACAGAAUGGGAGUUAUACCUGUUUUUCUAUGCUGGUGUUUUUCAUAUCGCGGGAAAAUUUCAGGAUACAUGUUUGUUCUCUUGCACAGAAGCUCUUUGGGAUGUCAUAAGUUCUCAAUGUUAGUUAACUUGUCUGGAAAAUAUGCAAGCUACCUUUCUUUUGUCCCCUAGUUGACUUUUCUUAAGGGGGUAGCCUAGUUAAAGAAGUUACAACGAGAAGGAUUGACUAGUGUUGGAUCAUACGGGAGUAUCACAAACGCUGGGUAAAUUUGUUUUGGUUCAAGAAUAUCAUCUCAUUUAGAGAAUAUCAAUGGAGGUAUAUGUCAUUGCUGAUACUCAUGGAUUAAGAGUUGUGUAUGAGGAUCAGAUGACACCAAAGGCUACAAAGUUACAUAUACAAUAUGAGAGUGAAACAACUUAAUUGCGAUAAAGGUACCAAUAGAUGGAACUUAGUGUUGAAACCAACCCUGGAUUAAGAGACUUGGUACAAGGAAUUUAAAAGACUAUGAUGUGUAGCGUCUAAAAAGGACAGGAGAACUAGUCCCUAGUGUCCCCCAAUCAACCUCGUCUUAAGGGGGGUAGUACCUUGAUAUCACGAGUGAUGCAUUUUAAGACUAGCUUGGAGUGAUAAUUGUCUUCUAAGAUAUUCUAUGGUUAUGAUCAUCUAUCCUUGCCGUGUUACUGACGUUGGUCACUUGAUGACAGGGAGUGUAGUGUUCCAUGAAUCCGGAGCACAAUAUGACACCUCUCAUGGAUAGGUGGGAAGAAUAUGAUCAUCUUGAUUUUGAAGAAAGAUGCUAUGAGUAUGACAAAGCUGAGUGUUAUCAAAAUAACAAUAUGGAAGAGCAAGUUGACAACGAAUCAAAUCAAAAUCCACAACGACGGAAGCGUAAAAGGAAAGCUCGUAAGAAGCCUGCUCUCGGAAAUAAAGUACAGCGAAAUUAUAUCAAUGGAAGACUGAACAAUGUGGAUAUGCAUAACAUUCAAGGAGCCACCAAAGUGGUGGGAGGCUAUAUUCAAGUGGACUCAGUACUAGUUUUUGCUCUGUUUGACCGAAGUGCUUCACAUUCUUUUAUUUCCGCUGACUUGGUAAAGACAAUCGAACGGAUGAAGUGUCCGACGAGAAAGCCUUUGUUAGUUCAAACCCCAAUGGGAGAAAUACAGGCAGAUCAGGUUUGCUCCAAUAUCAAUCUUGUCAUAAAGAAGGAAAACUUCACUGUAAACCUCAUUGUGCUAGAGUCACUCAAUAUUCCUUUGGUUCUUGGCAAUGGAUGGUUAUGUGCACACAGGGCAGUGAUCUAUGCUACCCAGUGGAAAAUAUUCUUAACUGCACCAUCAGGGAAAAGAAUUGAGUAUCAAGGUGGUCCACUCCUACCUGAGGAGGCAUAUCCAUGCCGAGAUAUCAUGUCUUUGAGUUGUAUAAGUUGAAAAGUGGUAGUCAAGAUGGACAGAGGGCAAUUACGAAUAAUAGACAUCAUAUGGAAGUUUUGUUUACAAGUUGUAAUCCCGAAACAUAAGUGCUUGCAUUUGGAAUACAAGUUGUCAAGUUGAAAUAAUGAUCAAUAUCUUGUUCCUGUUUCUCUUUUGGAAUCUGUGCCUCUUCCGAAUCUCGAGGACGAGAUUCAUUUCAAGGGGGGGUAGAUUUGUAACACCCUAAAUUUUGUUCUUUUAGAAAUAGAUGAAAAAUAAUUUAAUUUUGAAUUUUUGUGCUCAUGAAACAUAAGAAAAGUAAUAUUUUUCAUUAAAAUAAAAAUUUAAUAUAAGGCUUAGCAACUAUUGUGUGUAAAUCAUGCUGGUGCAUUUUAUUUUUGAGAUGAGUGAUUUUGACCAAAGUUUGAAAUAUUUCAAACAGAUUUCUAAAUGGAUUUGAAAUAGGCUUUGGAAUAAAAGAAAUGGGAAAAAGAAAAUAAAAAGACAAAACCCCUCCUCUCCCUCUUCCUGGCCUGAUGGCCAAAUCCCCCGCGCAACGGCCCACAGUACCCCGCAGCCCAGCUCCCUCUUCCGGCCCAAGCCGCGGGCUGAAGCCCAGCAGCGCAGGCGCGCCCUCCCCUCUCCCUCUUCUCGCUGACACCUAGGCCCCACUUCUUUGUUUCACCGAUAGGUGGGUCCGCCUGGUCAUCCCCUCCACCGAGCGUCACCAGGCCGGACUCGACCGGGAGUUUCCCCGCCGAAUCGAUCCCCGGGGAAACCGCGAAUUCGUUUCCUUUUCCGCCAACCGAGGUCCUAUAAAGUGUUUUCUACAACUCCGCAGUUUCCUUUUGCUCCUAAACCGCGAAUCAAAGCUCUAGCCGCCACGAACGCGGAAGCUCGGAUCUCGCCGAAAACCGCGCGCGUCCUCCACCGCGGCGAGCACUCCCUCCUUCCCAUCAGCGCGAACCGAGCAUCUUGGUGAGUCCGCGGUGAGCUUCUCCUUCACCUGGCGUUUUCCUUUUGUUAAACGGUGCACCGGAACACUUUCCCAACCAACUCCGGCGAGGAGCAAGGCCCUCCGGCCAUGGCGCCACCGCCGGAGGCUCUGUAGCCGGCCAGCACCCCCUCUUCCCUCCUGGGAUUGAUCCAGAGCCGUUCGAUCUAAAACCAACGCGCCAGAUUAGAACUUACCCCUUCGGGGUGAUUUUAUUAAAGAGCCCCUGACGUUUUUAUAUAUGAAACCCGCGGUCCAAAACGUACAGCAUCAAAUACGCUUUCUGAGUUGGAAGACGUAAAGUCUGCCGGCUUGUUUCCAAAUUACGUUUUCAGUAUUUACAGUUUUGCCACCAGAUUUAAAUUGCUUAUAACAUGCUCAUCUUAAAUCCGUUUUGGUCCAUUCAAAUUGCGUUAGGUUCGUAAUUAUGAGCUUUACAUGUUAGUAACAUUAUUUUCUCAGUUUGAAAUCUUUUAAUUUCGUGAUCCUACUUAAUUAAUUACCUUCCUAUAUAAAAUCUUAGAAAAUUCAUAACUUCACCGUUUUAAUUCCGAUUUUCGUGAUCUUUACGUCUAUGAAAUCGUAGCGAUGCGUAGAAUCAUUUUAUAAACUUUUCAUACUGUUUUUAUAUGAUUGGUGUACUGUUCUAAUAGUAGACUUGUUUGCUUCGUGUAUGUUUUCUCCGAUUGUUUGUGUGAUCGAUGAUCGAGUUUAGACGGGGAGCCGUUUCGGUGAUCAAGAUCAAAGCUUUGGCAACAAGUAAGACCAGCAGAACCAAAAGGAUUAGCAAGAUCAUUGGAUCGAGGCAAGUAUAGCAUUUGGAUUAUAUUUCUGUGACCCGUGAUCCUGUGACUAGAUUAAUGUUAAGUAAUAAAUGAUAAAAAUGACUUUUUAGCCACUUGAUGAUUUAUCUGUAAGUGAUAACCGGGACAACAGUGCAACCAUGAGGGCUAUAAUGGCUCUGGCUUUAGUUAAGUAUGAGUAACUUUUCUAGCUCGUUAGCGGUUACCCGUUGUGGCGCAGUUGGGGAAUAGCAGACCGUGGAUUCCUGCGGGUGAAUCACACGGACUGACUAAUGAAACCAAGCGGCCCUAACUUGUUAGACGAACCUUUGAAAGACUUCAUAGUGAUCCCUGCCGACCUCCCUAGGAAGGGGGUUAAGAGACUAGCUACCUCGGGCGAAAGGGUAAAUCAUGACUCAUGGGUAAAGAUGUGCAACCUCUGCAGAGGGUUAAAAACUAGUAUACUAGCCGAGCUCACGGUCAGGAGCGGCCUUGGGGAUUCUUGCGGCGGUGAUGAUGAUUCUUGUGUGUUAAAUAUGCCCAUUAUUUAUUAUUUAAUGCUCUACAUUAUUUAUGUCACAUUGAUCAUGAGAUUGUGGGAGCUAUAUAAUCUAGUUGCUAUACUUGUGGAGUUCGACAUGGACUCACUCUUGCUAUUUCCCCCAAACCUCAGGAGAAGUUUAGGCUUGUGAUCAACCAGUCAGUUGGAUCCUGUAGAGUGGAGUUAAUACCCGAAGUUGGAGUUAUCUAUCCGCUGUUUGCUUUUAAAGGUUAUCUCUUUUAUACUAAGUACGUUAUAUAUUUAUGCAUUGUCUUUUGAUAUUACCCCUUAUUUGUAGCUAUAUAUGAGAAUUGACUCCUAAAACUCAUAUAUAGUGUAUAUCUGGUUUUGUCCUUAAAAUCGGGUAUUACACAUAAAUUGACUAAAACAUCCUUUACUCCUCGUUGAUAAUUACCAUCAGGCUAGCGUACCCAAUUUUUUACAAUUUAGCCCUUUUUUUGAAAAAAGUUCACAAUUGGACCCUUGGAAAACUUAAAUGCAGAAAUGGACCCAGGGGGUCGACGCCAUGCAUCAUGGCGUCGAGGUAUCACGUCUCGACGCUAUGGAUCACGGCGCCGAGGUCCUGGGUGCGGCCAACGUAGCUUCUGACGUGGAUCUGACGUGGCAGGGAGCUCGGCGCCACUGAUCACGGCGCCGAGCUCCCUACUACAUACCAGCCGACGGACUUCGCUACCCGUGGACGCAUUGUUCAGAUUUUCAUCUCCCCUCUCGGCUCUUUCUCUCCAAAAACCGAGCACGAAUUUGGAUUCAAUAUUGUGACCAUCAAAAGUUUGAUUUUUUCCAUAGAUCUUGAAGAGCGAGGUAUACUCUUUCACAUAUUAGUUUUUGACACAUUGAUUUGACCUAUAUUACACGUAUGUUGUAAACUUAGAUAUAUACCAUAUCUAGAUUUUUGAAUGGAUGAUUAAUAUUUAUAUUAUGCAAUCGUAGAAUGCCACGUCGUGGAAAAAGUAGCAAACCAAGGUAACCUUUCGACAUGUUUCGAUAAAUUUCAUUCAUUAUUAUUUAUCAUUUGGUAAAUUCUAGUUUUCGGUUGAAUCGUUAAUUGCUAUGAUUUCUUAGAAUUGAAUUCUUUGAACUGUAGCUAUGGCCGGACGACCGGGAGUCUGUACAUCCACAAGCCGCUUCCUAGCGGUGUUCCAGUACCUAUGUGCUUUUGUGGUGAUCCUUGCAAGGUAGAAAUUUCGGAAGACGAGGAAACCUAUCGGCAGAGGUAUUGGAUGUGUUCCAAUUUUGCCUGGGAGCCUACGCCAAAACAACGCCGCAGUAACUUUAUUGUAAGUUAAUUUGUCUAUUGUGCACUUAGUAUUUUGUGUCCUAUGAAGCAUGAUUUAAUUUUUUGAACAAAUAUAUUUGUUGCAGACCCCUCCACCAUUGUGUGAUUUUGAGCAGUGGAUCGACACUGAUAUUAAGGAGUCCGACAAGCGGCUUCUACAAGGCCUAAAGGAGUGGGAUGCAGAGCGUGCAGAGAUAUUAGAGAAGAGACGUAGAGAGGAGGCUUAAAAGAGGGACCACAAGGAAGAGGAGGAAAGAAGACGUGUUGCUGCGGCUUGGGAGGAGAGAGAAAAGAAGCUUGAGCGUGUGCGCCGAGCGAAGGCAGCGAUGGAUGAGAAUCCAGAUUCCGAGAGGAAGGGAAAGUGGCCUCGUUGCACUCAGUAGUUACAUUACAUUCUUGUUCUUUGUUUGGUUCAUGGACAAUAUUGUUUUGUGUUGGACUUUUCAAUUUUUUGUCAUGUAAUGCACUUUAGCAAUUUUAAUUUGGUUUCAUUAUUAGUAGACAAUAUUUUUAUUUGAGUAUUGCAUGGGCAAUGAAAUGAGGAUAAUUAGUUGAAAUGGAAGUUAACGAACUAGUAUAUUGCAUAACUAGUAGCACACAUCACAUUGAAUGGCAUGUCAAAACAUGCACCAAACAAGGGUGCAGAGGUCCGAGACUAAACCUAACAUGCCUUAGGUAAUUCAAGCAAUUAACAAGCACAGGAAAUGGCAUGUGAGAACAUAUACCACACAAAGGUACAUAGUUCUUUCGACUAACCCUAACAUGCCUUAGGUGAUUAAACCAAACAACAAAUAUAUGCCUUAGUUCAGUUCGACCUAGUAGUGUGGCCACAUAGCAAACUGUGUUGCCCCUUCUCCAUAGUAUCCUCCCGUUGUUGGUGGUGGUGGUGGGGGUGGUGGUGAAGGAGGGCCCUUGUUCUUGUGAUUUGGGCAUGUGCAGUAUGGAUCAUUGCAUAUUGUGUUUUGGGAGCCAGUAGCAUUGCUGUUGUCGUCCUCUUCGUCGUCCUUGUAACCACUGCUAACUUCCGUUUCUAAAUCAAAGAUACGGUCCUGCAGGUAGUACAUGUACUCUGCAUGGGAAUGAAUAGGUCUAGGAUCGACCCAUCUGGUGAAGCCACAGUUCUCUUUUUACAAAGAUGACUGCAAUAAGUAUGUAGCUUUAGCACAAAAGAGUAUCUUAUUGAAGGUUGAAUUACUAAUAUGACUUACCCAUGCUCGUGGACAUUUGAAGAAACGACGCCCUCCAUCUAUCCCCUCUGUGUACAUCUGCACCAAACAAUUCUCACCAUGCAUGCAUUUUGGCCACUCUUCUUUUCGGUCAUCAUAUGCCCUCAGUGGUGCUUCUUUAGUAAAAUCAUGUUUGCUCUCAAGAGGGAACCUAUCAUAAAUUGCUUCCUCAAAGUCUUUAGGACCAAGAGGACCCUCCCAAACAAAGGGAUUACCCUUCAUCGCCGCCUUUCCCUUUCCCUUCCCUUCCCUCUAGACGACCCUCCAGACAUUUUUACUUCAACUGAACAAUCUCAAGUGAGUAGCAACGCUCUAACCACUGCGUAUAUAUAUAGGAACCCAAUAGUUGGUAGCUGUUGUAGUAUAAAAUAAAUGGACCUGAAAAGCCUAGAUUCGAUUACUGAAAAGGCUAGUUGAAAACUGAAAAGUCUAUUUGGAUUGUCAUCUGAAAAGUCUAGAUUCGAUUACUGAAAAGGCUAGUUGAAAACUGAAAAGUCUAUUUGGAUUGUCAUCUGAAAAGGCUAGAUUUGUUCACUGUUUCGGAUGUGAUGAUUCAAUGAAAAGCCAUAUUGGUUCACUGUUUCUGAAAAGCCUACACUGCGAAAACCAAUAGGAAUGGACCACAGAAUAUGUGCACUACAUUGAAUAAUUCAUGGAAAAAAUUUGCAAGAGUUUCCCCUGUUUUUGGUACAUCCACAGUUAUAAAUAGACAUCACAGUACAAUACAAACAUUGAUUCAUCCAAAUAUCACAACACAAGCACAUACGCCAUCAGGAAUGAUAGUUCAGAUAGUCCACAGAGACCAUACAGUCUCAUAUAGUACAAAUAGUCCACAAAGUUCACAGUGUCGAUACAUGCAAAAUAACAGAAGUUAUGACAUCAAUUCUAAGCUGCUACCAUGGUGUUAGCACAGAAGUCAUCCUCACUGCCUCCUAGUCUUACCCUUACCCUUGUGGCCAAGAGCAUCGGUGCCUGGAGUGUACCUACAAGGCGAACGACGUCGCCUUCUUGCAACCUGCGUAGGCUGAGUAGAAGGAGCAUCAGGAAGCUGAGAUAACCCAAGCUCGUCAUAGUCACGCUCCUCGGCCACCCCCUCUUCGUCCUCAUCAUCAUCGCUUUGAAAAGUGUCCAUAGUUGGCCGAGACGAGCUCUGUCCUCCAGAUCCUAUAAACAUUGUUCAAAUUAUGUGUGCACAUAAUUCAUUAUCUCAUACCAUGAAAAUUGCUCAGUUCAAAUAAACAACAAAUUUAAUGAAAUUAUACCUCCCAAAGAAGAUGUAUCAUGCACAACAGGUGUGUUGCAUUGUCGUUCCUGUGGCACAUGCACAUUCAUCGCAGCACUAGUACCGCAACCGCACCGAGCUGCAGCACGCCUAAGCCUACGUGCUAGUCUCUAUUAUGCAAAGAUUAAAAUUCAUAUUGUUAGAUAUAUGAUAAAUGAGGGUCGUAAUACUUGUUCUUAGAUAAAUUUGAUGUCAAAUACUUACUCCAAGAAAGUUGUUUAGUGUGUGCUCGUCCACACCUGUUCUUGGAAACCGUUCGAUGUCAAGUACAGAUUGCUUGAUUGCGUUGCCCUAUAAGAUAAGACAUGUAAUAGUUUAUAUAGGUGCAAUUUAUAAAGUGGAAAGGACAACAAUCGUACAAUUGUAUAGUGGAAAGGACAUGUACCACUCGGUCCAAGACAGGUGCUGCCUCGAUAAGUGUCCCUUGUCGUGCUGCUAGGUCAUAGGAAGUGUCCUCAUCCUCAGAUGAUUCAAGGUACGCAUAAUCUGCUUGGAUCCACUGAAUUUUCAACCUUGUUCGUGUAACACCUAGGUACCAAGUAAGGUAUGCACGAAAAUUGUAGUUGGUAUGUGGUUGCUCAUUUUCGUAGAGGUUGUCAUGAAACUGGUCCCACACCUCUAUGUACUGACGAUGCAACGUUUGAAACUCAACUGUCUUCUUCUGCUUCUGACGAUCAAUCCUAAAAUUAAAUAUUAAAGAUAAAAAUAAUAACAUAGAUUUAACAACAUUGGUUCUAAAACUCAGUACGGGGUUAAAGAUAUUGAACUAGCAACAUGGAUAUAGGUGGUAUGAAAUAAAUUUCAGCAAGUAGGUUGUAGUAGCACACAUCAAAUACGAUGGAAAUGACUAAGGAUAUAAAUUUCAGCAAGCAUGGAUCUGCACUAGCACAUUUAUAAAAUUCAGCAAGCAUGGAUAGGCACUAAGCAUGUAAAUUUCAGCAACAUUUAUAUAAAUUUCAGCAAGCAUGUAAAAAGUACCAACAUGCAUAUAGGGGGUAAUAAAUUUCAGCAAGGAUUUAUAUUGGACCAAGUAGCAAAUAAAUUUCAGCAAUCAUGUAAAUUUCAGCAACAUUUAUGGUAUUGAACAUUGAAUAAAUAUUGAACUUUGAAUAAAUUGCAGUCAACAUAUCUAUCAAUUGCAUGGAAAAAUUACCAAAAUGACUUACUUGUGCAGCUCCACGGAAGUAUCAAAUGGAGGGACAGGCCAUUGCUGGCACAAGCCAAAUUGGCGGGCUACUCGAUUUGGAAGGUGCCACUCAACAGCAUAGAAGCAAAUCAGAGGGUAGAUCAUCAAGUACAAGUCUUCAUCCACGCUACACAUGCUGCUUACUCCAAGAUGCAGCGCAUCAUUCGCCGUGUACGGCUCCCAAUUCACCUGCAAACAUAAGACAUGUAUAUGGCACGUUAGAGAAACUAUCGAGCAUACAUUAAACAAGAACUACUGCAUUUUACUCACCAUGGAUGGCCUAAGUGUGUCGAGCUCAUUGGCAUACUGUACGUACGCACGUGAAGUCCUGCUGAAGGGGACUUUCGCCUGGUCCCAAAGAUGGGCAAACGUCGGACGGUGACGAGGGUUGCCCACUGCAAACCAUUCCCGAGGAGCGUCAACUAUGGGCCGUCCAACUGGGAGACGAGCCCACAUCCAAAGCUGCAGUAGGUAAACACAACCACCAACGGAAGAACUACUUGCGGUCCGACGACACGCCUCACAAAGGCUACGGUAUAGGAAAGCCAGCACUCCCGAAGCCCAGCUGUAAGUACCUGUAACCGUUGCAAUCAAUUUAAUCAAUGCAUAAGUAAAUAUAAGUAAGCAAAUUAAUAAUAACUGUGUAAGGGAAAAGUACCUGUGGUGUCCCAGUCAGUGAGGCACGGGAGGUACAUCCACGAUGCAGUGUCCCCUGUCGCGUCAGGGAAAAGAACACACCCAAAUAGGUGCAAGAUCCAAGCUCUACAGUAGUAGGCAACUGUCUCCUGGUCCGCAUGUGUCGGACAAUUACCAAAGCUCUGCCUAAGCCAAGCAAUUGGUACCCCAGUGGUGCGCUGCGUCGGUGCCUCCGGAGGAAGUGGUCUUCCAAGGAAGGCCUCAACUCUGACCCUCCAACCAUCGGGCCUGCAGUGUCCGAUAACUGGACGACCUCUAACACUCAAACCUAGGAUCUUCUGAGUGUCCUGGAGUGUAACAGUCAUCUCUCCACAAGGUAGGUGGAAACUAUGAGUUUCUGGCCUCCACCUACAAUUUAAAGAACAUUGUUGUUAGGGUUUUCAGAAAGAUAGAUAAAGUUUGUUGAAAAAAACAUACGAUUACUAUGGAUAAAUGGUGCACCUGUCAACCAAAGCUGUGAUCGCCGCGGGGUUAAUUGGAGGCAACCCACGACGAACCUGAUACGAUAUGACAUCCAGGCCAGCCCUCUGUAGCAGAGGUGUGUACCUGUCGUCAUACCGCAUCUCCUCAAACUUGUCAUGCGUUCGAGGUCGAAGCGGGGGUAGUUCCUGCAACCAUACAAUCAAGUUAUUUAAUGCAUAAGUACACAAAUUAAUAAUAACUGAAAAGCAAAGAUCAAAGUAAGUACCGCCCCCUCGGCAGUGAGUCGUCCUCGGUGCUUCUGCUCGUAGUAUAGAUCCAGGAGGUGGAACUGCUCCAUCCUAUAAACAAAUUUGAUCCAUUAGUUAGUAAUUAAGCAGAAAAAAAAUAAUACAUUACAAUGUCAUUAUAUUAAACAAAGGAGCACUAGAACAUGUAUGUCUACCAAAAAGUAAGUUGCAUAUGAAAGUAUUUAUCAACUAAAGUACAUAGAAUAUUAAGUGCACCUGACUUAGCGGCCAAUGGCAAGUACGCGAGUUGUGUCCAAGUCUACCACAUUUGCCACAUUGAUUUUGCUCGGGGUCAGUAACAAACGGGGUUGCUCUCCCUUGCCUCGUUCUACCUGAAAUCUGGUCCAUGACCAUCUUAUGCCUCGUACGCUUUCUGGUUCCACGUUUGUUCCAGCGAGCACCUGGAUCUGCAAUGUACCUUGGGCCAAUGUAUUCUGGCCACUGCCCCUCAUCUAGGAAAGGCUCAAAACGGGGCGACCAAGUUAGCACAAGGCUAUCAACACUCAACUCCCAUGGUAUCUUGGUCUCGUAGUCAAAGUUGCGAUGCCUAGCUGCUGCAAUAUAGUGAGAACAAGGAGAGUGGUACUGUCUUGGUCUCCCACAUCCACAUGAAAAAUCAGUAAGGACAACAAUAUAACUCCUUGAUGGUCGGAUCUCACCAUCUGACGUUGUACCACCCCUUUCAGUGACCUGGUACUUGCCAGUGGCAUGGUCAAAACACUCUAUGUCAUGUGUCCUAGCCCUUUCCUUUGCCUUGUUAAGGUGCUUCUUAGGUCUAGGUGCCCAUUUCAUAUUAUUACUCUGUAAUUGCAAUGCCUGAGCAUGUCUAUCGUUGAACCAGGCCACUAGCCUAUAAAAGGUAAAAGAUACGAUGGCAUUGACUGGCAUGGCACGUAUACCCUUGAGCACACUAUUAAAUGACUCUGCCAUGUUGCUAGUCUGAAACUCGUACCUCCAUCCACCAUUAUCAUGGGCUCUUGUCCAUUUCUCAGGUUCCCUCAUCAAACCUAGCAGCCACUGCCUACCUUCUGCAUUUGUUGCGGUUUUUAACUGCUCCAACUUCUCCUCAAAAAAUGUCACCUCAAGCAUUCGAGCAACCUCCUCGAAUAGAGGAAAGUUGUCCUUCGUACCAUCUUUCCGAAGUAAAUUCUCUGCAAGGUGUCUAGUACACCAACGAUGGUGCAAAGGUGCAUAACCAGGAAUCUGCUCCUGUACGGCACUGAGUAUGCCCUGGUGCCUAUCAGAUAUGACACCAACCUCCCUAUGUGGGCCAAUGACAUGUAUCCGAACAAGGCACAUGAACCAACCCCAGCUUUCUUUGUUCUCUCUCUCCACCAAAGCAAAAGCCAAAGGAACCAAUGCGUUGUCAGCGUCACAGGAAAUGGCUACCAAAAGAGUGUCCAUGUACUUGCCAAGCAGAAAAGUACCAUCAAUUGAUAUCACUGGACGGCAGUGCCUAAAGGCCUGGACACACUGUGGAAAACACCAGAAUGCACGAAAGAAUAUCUGCCUCCCAUUCCUCCAUUCAUUAGGCUUCGGAAUGUACUCGUAAUGCAUGCCUGGAUUAGCCGCUUUCAUUGCAUUGAACAUUGCUGGCAGCUGCUCGUACCCCUCCUCCCAGUCCCCAUAUAUCAUCUUCCAGGCCCUUUGCUUUGCCCUCCAUGCUUUGCCAUACUUUAUGUCAUAUUUAAAUAUCUUCUGAGCCAUGUCCAUAAUUGUUCUGACCUUCAAGUUGGGCUGACCCUUUAAAGUUGUGCAUAACGUACUAGCAAUAAGUGUAGAGGUCAACUGUCGAUGCUUCUGUUGAAGGUCAGUCUGGGCACAAGUGUGUGGACCUACAAUUUUUGUGAUCUUAAACUUCCCGGUGGCCUUCUGUUUACGAGCACAGACCCUCCAGUUGCAAUCUGACAUCUCACACACAACCGUGUAGCGGCGCUCAACAUGGGAGUGCAUCACCUUGAAGGGUCUUUUACGUAUUACAGAAUAUUGUUGUAACCACCUUCUUAAGCUGGGCAAGUCAUUAAAGAUCAUGCCCUUCUGAAUUUGCACACUGUCACUAGGCUCAGGAGCCUCCAGCAGCUCAUCAUCUCUUCCCUCUGCAUAAGCAUUUUGAGAAUGACUGAGGUCACUAAACUCGUGAACUAGUGGAUCACGAUCAGGACAAAAACGUCUGAUAAGCUCCAUUUCUUGUUCACUUAAAGGUGCAACUGGGCGGUCAUCAUCGGAAUCAACAGCUCUAGCUGUGCCAUAGGGCUCCUCAUCAUCCUCAAUAUAGACAUCCAAACUAUUAGAUGCUAUAAAAGUUGCGUCAACAUUAAAUGAUGGAGGCACAAGAUGACAAGAAUCAUUACUUGGAUUGUCACCUACAACAAAACCACAAAUAUGGAUACAAUUGAGACAACUAAAUAGAACGAAGGAAGGCUAACAAAAUGAAUAAUGCAACUACGCCACUUACAUUGAAUAGUCUGGGUCAUAGGGGUCUCUAGGGAGACAACACCAACACCACCGACAAAUCUUCCAGCCUCAUUGGGACCGGAUUGAGCAUCAGGAACGACAACCACAUCUUCCACACCCACGUCCUGAAUGGGUAUCAGAGAAGCUGAGGGUGCCGGAUUGUCCGGUUCCGGCGAGAACCCACCAAUGGGUGGUUGCCAAUUAAGAGGAGAAUCCACUAGAGGGCCUGGCUCCUUGGACAAGUUGCGCACAACCAAAUCCAAACAUUUAAACUCACUCUUCAUGACAGUUUUGACAUAUUUGUCCCAUUGAACCUCGGAUACAAUUGGGACCAACCGCCUAAAAAUUGUCCCUGACCCGCCAUGGUGAAUGACCCCCUCAACUAAGAUUUCUUCUUCAUUCGAAUUACAUUUAAGCUCAUCACGAGCACUACCCAUCAAUUCAGAAAACAAGAGCCGCUCAUCAAACAUCAAAGGGACCGUUUGCAUUCCAACAAAAUCAACAUUGCCAAACUGAUCUUUCUCCACACUUCCUCCAUGAUAUAAGGUUACUAAAUUGUCCAUCUAAUUGAUAUACAAAACAACCAUGUUACUAGGCAUAUAACUAAUACAAAUAAAACACAUAAAUAUCUAUCUAAGUAAAUACGUAUGUAACUAACUAUAUAACUAAAAUUACAAACUAGAUUUAUCUAACUAAAUUACAUAAUUAAAUUCUAGAAAUAUUACAUAAACUACUCUAAAUUAAAUAAACAACUCUAAAUUACAUAACAAUAUUCAUAUAAAUAAUACCAAUAUAGAAAAUUGCUACAUGAAUUAUUUCAAAAAUUAUACAACUUAGAAAACUAACUACAUUAUCUAAACAAUUAUACAACUAGAAAAAAAAAAUUUACCUGACCAAAGCAGCGCCGGGGCCGGGGCAGUCGUGGAGCCGUCCGGUGACAGCCGCGGGGCUGGCCGGGCCAGCCGCGGGGCCAGCCGGGGGCAGCCGCGGGGCGCGGCUUGGGCACCGGCGGGGGCGCGGCCGGGGGCAGGGGCCGCGGCGGCCGGGGGCAGCGGCCGGGGGAAGCAGCGGCGGCCGCGGCGGGGCGGGCCGGCCGGGGGCGGCGGCGGCAGGCGCGCAGCGGCGGGGGGGCGUGGCGGGCGGGCGGCCUCGGAACCGAAGAGGACGAGGCGGCCGCGGGCGGUAUUUUGUCUCAAUACCUCGACGCCAGGAUCUGUGGCGCCGAGCUCGGCGCCGUGAUCUGUGGCGCCGAUCUUUUUUUUUCCACUGCCACGUCAGAAUGUACGUUGGCCGCAUCCAGGACCUCGGCGCCGUGAUCCAUGGCGUCGAGGCGUGAUACCUCGACGCCAUGAUGCAUGGCGUCGACACCCUGGGUCCAUUUCUGCAUUUAAGUUUUCCAGAGGACCAAUUGUGAAUUUUUUUAAAAAAAGGGCCAAAUUGUAAAAAAUUGGGGCUAGCGUACGCGCCAUCUAUUUGCAUCCACGCGCAUACACAAAUACUCCCUCAGUCCCAAAAAGAGUGUCGUUUUAGGUUUUUGUGCCACAAGUUUGACUCGAUUUGUAGAAAAUAUAUGCAAUAUUUAUAUCUCUAAAUAAAUUUGUUAAAAAACUAGACUUAAAGAUCUUUCCAAUGAUACUAAUUAUGUACUAGAAGUACUAAUAUUUUUUACUAUAUAUUUAGUUAAAGUUAUUUCUCGGGAAGCGAAAACGACACUUAUUUUGAGACGGAGGGAGUAACACAUAAUAGGAUGCAGGUAAUAAAUUAUGGCAUGCAUGCGUUAGGCCGCGUGCACGGAUGUUUUUUUACUCGUGCCACUUGCUCCCUCUGCGGCACCCCUCCUCCACUCUGGCUCCCGGCGCCCAUCCUUCUCUGGCUCCCCUCAUCUCCACCACCGUCCCGUUGCAGCGCGCUAGGACUUCGCCGGAGCCCUAUAAACACGAAGCUCCGACGAAGCCCUAGCGCACCUACAACGGCUUUCUUCUCCCCUCUUCCCCCUCUUAUGUCGCCGCCAUGGCCUCCUUUGCCCCUAGCUCUGCCGUCGCGACACCUUUAUAAUGGCCAGCCACCUUCACCAUGCUAGGGCCCCUAAACCACUCUUCAGCCAUAUGCACUGUAUGCCCGGUCUUCCUUCCUCAAACCUUCUCUUUCUAAGCCCACCAGAGUUCGAGAAGAUGAGAGAGAGCGCGCUUGCUGGAACCCUAACUUGCAUAUCGAGGAGGAACCCGCCUACCUCGCCGUUGCCGUUGUCGUCAUCAAAGGGGAGAGAGGGAGGAGACGCAUGGGGAGGAGCCACGUGCGUGUUGUGAAUAAAUCUUUGUCCACCUAAAAUGCAUGGUUUGUAGCGUUGCAACGAGUUAACAAAUUAAGGAUCGGUAAUGAUUAGGAGCGGGCGUCCGUCUGCGCCGAAUGUGGCUUUCUGGGCCGCCGCGGCCCAACAGGUAGGCUUCGUUGUGUCACAUCAUCUCUAGCAAAAUAUCUUUUACUCCGUAGUUAUCCAUUCAUAUGCGGUUACGCAUGCGCUCGCUGCUGCCGUCUUCCCCACCGUGCAGCCCAUCUCGCGGCGUGCAACUCUCUAUCUAGCACCGGGCACUCCUUCAUCGCCUUAGCGUGCUCCAAGCUCCGAUGGCCCCGCUCCAGCUCCAUGUGCACUACGCGCCCCGCUGCUACGCACCGUGUUCCAUUCCUAUUUGCGUCUCACCGAAUCUGGCCGGCAGGCUUAAGGAAGCUGUUGGCGUGUGGCCGGCGGACUCAAGCAAGCAGCUGACCCUCCCCUAUCGUGGUCGGCGGCGUCCUCCCCAGAUCUGGCAGCGUCUUCUCUUCCUUAGCCAAUGGUGAGCAUGCCAGGGCGUGCGGGCGGACCAUCCAGCGAGCCUGUGCCACCGUAGGUUCCACCAAGUAGGUCAUGGCCGCGUGAUGUUGAUGUGUUUCGAGUGUUUUUGGACUCUUUUUUUUAUAUAUUGCAAGCCCAUAUUUCAAGUGUUUCAGUUUGUUUCGUGUGUAUGUUUCAGUUGUUUCAUGCAGAUGUUGCAAAAGUAGAUCAAGAUAUUGUAGAUGUUGCAAUAUAAUGGUUGUAUAUGUAUGUUGUAAGCGUCUUUCUUCAAUGUUUCAGUUGUUUUUAUACACAUAUUUUUACAAGUGUUUUAGAUGUUUGUGUGGAGUGUUUCAACUGUCUUCUUCACUAUGUUGCAAGUGUUAUAUCUAGAUAUUUCAAAAUUAGAUCAGGAUGUUUGCACAUAUUGCUAUGGUGUUUCAAUUGUACGAUGCAAAUGUUUCUUCUGAUUUAGACAUAUGUUGCAAAGAUUUUGAUCUGCAUGUUGCAGUAUUGGACGGUGUGACCGGUGACUGUUGCUGCCGCUCGGGGGUGCAGCCGUGGUUUUCUGUGUGUGGGGCGCAAGGUGGGUACGGGGUGCAGUUCCCUGCUACGGACGCGCUGUUGCUCGGGGUGCAGCCGUGGUUUUCUUCGUGCGGGGCGCUAGGUGGGUACAGGUUGCGGUUUCUGCUACGGACGCGUUGUUGCUGGCGCUUGGGGUGCAACCGUGGUUUUUUGUUUGCGGGGGCACAUGGGUGGGUAUGGGGUGCUGGUCCCUGCUACGGACGCAGGCGUAAGUGCUCGGACGACAUGCAGAGACCUAAAUAUGGGGCACGAUGCGGACACGGAAACAGCGUAGUUGUUGGAACCGUGUCCGGACGUGACAUCCCAUCCGGAGGUCCUGGCGCUAGGUGUACCGAUUAAGGAUCCUUGAUGUUUUCGUUUUCACGUCUUUGGACAACUCCUGAUGUCGACUUAUUAGAACCUGACGUUGCUGAUGACGUCAUUGAUCACCUGUGCUGCUCUCACGUGGCCCCUCGUCAUGCAUGGAGUUCCCAGUUCAGUCAUCAUCGAACACAGCAUGGAAGUUCUUCACACCAACGGAUUUGGAACGAGAUCCUCUGCAGUCAGGCUGGUAGACUGUCUUCUGCAGUCAGCUGAUCUGUGCCGUUAGUUGCGAUCCAACGAUGAGGAGUUCUCACCAGUCUCCCACAAGCACAACGACACACGGCCCAUCUCAGCCCAAGAUGGCUUUGCCUUUGUCUUCCUCAUUGUGAUGCCCAGCCGAAGGUGACGAAUCGCACGAUGGCGUCUUGACUGCGCAGAGGCUUGGAGGCUUGGAGCGGUGCCCCUCUUCUUGAUGAUUGUGGCUCGAAGCUGAACACAGCUUGCGCGACGGCAGCGGCAGGAUCUGGCCAUGGCUACAAAGCAAGACGCUGCUUGUACUUCUCUAUUAGAUUAGCUCCGGAGUCCGGACACAUAGAAAAAAUAAACUGGCGCUAAACAACCCUAGGCCGCGACCGCCUGCAUAGGCUGAUCUGGAGGCCGUGCUUGACGGAGCAGGGCUGCAGCCGUCUCCAUGCGCCAUGCUAGAGGACCGCGCGGUCGUCGGCGCUCGACGGAGCAGGACCACAGGCCACAGCCGCCGUGGUGGAGUAGGGCCGCGGCAGCAAGAGUCUCCGGCCACGAUGGCGAUCUCUGCCUUGCAGGACACUGGCAACGGCGACGGCGGCGAGUUAGCGACAGUGAAGGUGGCGAGCGGGGGCGGAGGGAACCUUGCACUAUCUCGUGUGUAGGAUCUCGUUCCGACGGAUUUAGAUGAGCUCUGUGAGACGCUCCAACAGUGUGGUACCCGUACCCACCGCUGCUCCAAUAAUAUUUUCGCCUAGGUGAUCGAUCUUACCCUCAGUUAUGUACUCUCGUUUCAUGCACUGAUGGAAUGUAAACGAGUAAUGUAAUAACGAGUUACCAAAAAAAAAAAGACACCGUACGUCCCUCGUAGUCGUAUAGUCUGAAAUAAUGCUUCCCCAUUUCAGUUGAGACCAGCUAGGGUACAAGACGGCGAUUUCUACCACGAUCAUGGCCAAAGUAGCUAGUAGUACGUAGAGCAUCAAUGUGGUCCAGGCUAGCUGCAACUACACGCUGGGUUUGGCUAUACAAACGCCGGGACACACAGCUUAGCAUAUCUCCAAUUGCCCCGACACUGCACACCGAGAGAGAUCUGAAUUCGGAUGGACCAAAGCAUGCAUGCAGCUGGUGGACUGCUGGACAAUGCCCUUCCUCGCUCAUCAGAUACUCGCAAGGUUACAUCACACACACAUGUACGUACCAAGUCUCUUUAUGUAUGCUACGUAAGUGUACGUACGUAUAGGCGUAUAGCAGGCAGGCAGGCAGGCAUCAGGAAGCAGCUUCUACAUACCCUAGCUACGCAUAUGCUGCAGGUCUGAAGCGGCGUGUCGACAAAGGCGUAGAGGUGGAUGCAUGCAAACGGCGCGGUCGAUCGGUCGGUGAAUAACCACCACGGGUCGGUGCCUGGCUCGAUCGGUGGGUGCAUCAUCAAUUAAUGUCGUUUGCAAGCCAACUGGCUUUGCAUAUGCAUAUCGCCGUCGGCGACGGGGCUUUCUGCUGCUAGCUAUUGCUAGCUCCUGUCCUGUGCCCUUCCUUUUUCCUUCCCCGGCCGGCCAAGUGUACGUGUGCAACGCAAGCCGCCGGCCGCCGAUCGAGGGGAGCGAGCGAGCGGAUAUUCGCAGCAUAAUCCGGCGCACUUGUUCCGACAUUGCAUCAUGCACCACGCCGUCGUCGUCCCUCCGACGACGAUUGACCGCUCCUCCUCUAGCGCUUUCCCGUCCGUUUCGUCCCCGCUGCCGCCUUUGGCUUUUGCCUUUCCCGCUUUGGUCUCGCCGUUCAGUCAGUCCGAUGAUCCACCACCAGCCCAUCCACACUCCACUCCUUGGCUGCUACGUACAUCAUUACUAAUAAACUAGCAUUAUUUAGCAAUAUAAUGCUAAACUAGCUUCUCCCAUCGGCCAUCGCCUCUAUAUUUUGACUGGCAUUGUAUAUACACUACUAUAUGUUGCAAUAAGAAGAAGAAUAAUCCAUUUUGCCUUUUGACCUCUGUUAAGCAGCAAUAUAUGUAAUGAUGUGGUCGUAAAAGAUGGUAAUUAAUUAAUUAACUCUGCUAAUAAUGGCCGUUGGUUUUUCUUUUGAUUAGUACUAGUAGUAUGAACGCAUGCGUUUUUCUUAAAAAAAAUGAACGCAUGCGUGACAACAUCACUCUCGAUGCGAUGGAUGGGGGAUCAACUGGUAGUGCUCUGUUGCGAUUACCACCUGGUUGACUCAUCAUCUAACUAUAUCCUAGUUAAUAAUAAGCGUGUUCCAGGCGAUAAUAACAAUGUGCAUGCAUGUGGCUACCUAGCUUGGGCCCAGCCGCCCAGCAGGGCCGGGGCUGCACACUUUUGUGACGUGUCGCUGCCUCCUCAGGCUCAGUGGGUAAAGCACUUGCCUAGCACAUAGCCGUAUAGCUGCACAACUCUCUCGUGCUAGCUAGCUUCUCACUGCAAAAGAGAUCGAUCGAUAUGAUCCUCCGCCCUGCCCUGAUAAUGCAGGUCGUUUUUGGAUGUGCUGUUGCUAAUGGCUCCAGGCUCUGCAGUCGAUCAGCUGCAUGCCGCCCUGGAUGGGAAUUUGGAGGCACUGUCCACGUACGUACAUAUAUAUAUGUACCCACUGUUGCAGGAUACCUAAUGCAUGACCAUGGUGCGUGCAUAAUUGCAGUGCCUACAUGGCUACAACGACAGUAACAGUGCAUGCCAUGCACGGCCAGCUCAGAGAUCAACUGUUGCUCUGCUUCAUCAUCUACAACUGCAGAUAUUUCUUUUUCAUCUGCAAGCAGGGUCGAUAUCGUUGUUGCCAACUUUUAUUUAGCUAUGCUAUUUUUUCCCUUGUUAUCGAUGAUUAGGGAGAACAAGUUGAUGCUGUGGGGCUGAUUUGUAGUGGUAGUAGUAGUGUUGUGAGUUGUGACCAUUGAAGACCCUGUCUCUUCUAUUUGCCGGGGAGAACUGGGCUCGUUCGUGUCCGGCUAGGACUAGCUGGGGAAUCUCUCUGUCUCAGAAAAAAAAAAGCUGGGGAAUAUGAGAAAAAGAGGCUGCGAUGAUAGGGACACAACGUUGCAUCGCGCGUAGUACUCUACGCAAAAAUAUCUCCUUCAGGUCAUGAAGAUUUGAGGUUUCCUGUUUCAGUUGUAGAUAGAUUUCUCUUUGUAUUUUGUUAGAGGCUGCAUUUUCCUGGAUUUAGUAUGCAUGUAACUGAUAAUUCUCUCUUUAGGCCAUGAAAGUUUGAUUAUAUUGUCAUUUAUUAGAGGCUUCUUUUUCUUUGAUUAAAGAAUGAAUGUGGUUCCAUCCAUGCUACAAGCUUUGCAGAUCCUACUAAGGACCAAACGCGAUGUUAAUUUUGAAUAGGACAAAGAAAAAAAGAUUAAAUACUUUGGCCAAUAACAUGGCCACUCGAACCCCCCCCCCCCCCAGUAGAAAAGUUAUGCGGAUCCUCGAGGACCAAAUCGGAGACCAGCAUUUUUUUUUCAUGUUAGCAGCCCAGUAAAGUCAAUAGUAUGUGGUACAAUAAUGUAAAGCUAGAGACUGCUUACGCCAACCCAAUCACAUAUAGCUUCUGUAGUUGGCAUCAUGUUAUGCAUAAGCAUGUUUGACUUGAUAACUCCUAUAAGGUGCUUUGCAAAGUGGGAACUGACGUGUAUUUCUUAUUGCUCAUGAUACCGCAUCUUGUUGUCAACACAAAGGAACUACUUCCUAGAGUGCUAACUGUACUUUCGCCGAAAAUCAACAAUGGCCAAUGAAAUAGCAGCUUCCUAGAAGGUACAACUUCUCGUCACACAACAAGCCCACCCCCCACGCCCAAAAGAAAAAACUACAGCAUCCACACAAUAUACCUUGAGAUUGUGGUAUUUUUCAUUGGUGCUAAACUUCCAUUUCCAUGGUACAUUGCUCAUCCCUCAACUUAUAGGCCGUUUUAGUAAGAUCCUAUGUGAGUUACAAAACUGUCCUAAGGCACAAAAUUCCUCUUAUACAGCAGGCCGUCUGAGUGAUGAGUAUCUAUAUGUCAGCAACCUUGAUGCCAACCUUGACACCGUUUUUCUCUUGAAGACUAAAUAAAGGGUCAGGAGAACGGAUACGAUAAGAAGAUACAACCAGAGGUGAGCUUCUUGAACAUGGAACAGCUUGAAAUUGUCGCAGUGGCAGCCCUGGUCGUUAUGGGGCAGCUUCAUCUGCCCAUCAGUUCCAUCCGGGUCCAAGAUGAAAUCCAGGUUGACAGCUUCCUGCUCCAGCAUGAUGCGUGUGGAUUUUUGCCGGAAGCCUUCCAUUGAUGCCACGACUGCCACGAAUGACGGGCAGAAAUGUCACUGAUUUUAUAGAUCUUGUUUUUCAGGCUAUUGAUUUCAUCUGUUAUCUCAUGGGUGGUCAACUUGGUCUUACUACCUAAACAAAUGAAUCAUGGAGGCUAAUCCUUCCGACACUAAAGGAAUGUAAAUCUUGUUUUUGAGGAGUCUAUUAAUCUCAAGUUUAACCAACAAUGUGCUAAUAUUUAUGGCAUGUAAUAAGUUAAUUAGAUUAAUCAUGGAAUAUAUUUUCAUAAACCUAUUUGAAGAUACAAAUGUUGAUAUUAUUUCCUAUAAAUCUAAUAAAACUUGAGACCUAUUAACUCCACGUCCACGGGAAGCAAGAUUUACAUUCCUUUUGGGAUGGAGGGAGUAUGUUAUUUUAUGAAGGUGGCAAAACUUGGUUAGCUGAUGCUAACCAGAAAUUGUGCUACUUCUGCUUGAUAGGCUAAGAAGUAAGAAUAUAAGUUGAAAAAAAGGAAGAAAAACAAUCAGACUGUUGUCAUGUCAAGUGAACAGACAUGCUGGUCCGAGGAUUACUAAUCUCUUCUAUUAACUGCAGGUGAUAUAACCAUAUACACAAACGCUGUGUUGCAUAUGGGAUGAUAAACUAAUGAAAAGAAUUUACCUUCAUAUGUCUCACCAGGAGCAACAAUUCGAUGGUAAUCUCCGAAAGUACUGCUCGCACUUACCUAUAGCAAAAAAAAGUUAUGUAAGUCUGAAACUCAUAUCAACAAUCUAUAUUCAUUUUUCAGUUCAUCCAAUCUGACAAAAGAUAAUUAAUGCAGCCAAAAUGAACUAACCCUGGAAUCAAUGCCCUUUAUCAUCACUGAGCCAGGUAUAGGCCUGCCAGUAUCUGCUGCAAAUAUCCUUCCAUGAACUCCUGACUAAAACUAGAGUCAAUAUGAUGGGACAGCCAGAUACACUCUAGUAACUCUUGCAGAUAGAAAAAAAAGGGGCAACUCCCAGAAGCAGAUAGAGGAACCAAAAGGUUUCUCCAAUUAAUACAGGGCAUAAAGUAAAUUUGUGGGACUUAAGAAUGAUCACACAUAUCACAGUAACAUCAAACCUACCCAAGUAACCUUUCGAGGGUCACAAGUCAGAGUCACGACUCAACAGAAUUCCUCCAGUCCAAAUUGAAUUCACUUUUUUUCGUUUAAAGACAAUGAUAAGGAUAUCUUGUAAUGCAAUUGAAAUAACAGCAAUAUUACUUGAUAAACUGUCAUGGGCAUAAAGAGGGGCGCCAUAGGGCGCAAGUGUCCUAGUUGGGCCUUAAGCCCAUUAGUGUUAAUUAGUGUCUCUCUUAGUUAUUUGUCUAUAGGAAUAGUACCAUAUUGUCUAGGCACAAGAGGUGUUAGUCCUAUGUACCUUUUAUAUUCAGCCCAUGGGGCACAAUGGAAAUCAAGCAAUGAAUUAUGAAGAAACAAUUCUAGUCUCCCUCAAUCUCUCAAGCUCUUGGCAAAGCAUAAGGCCUAGUUAUCCCAAAGCUCUUGGCAAAGCAUAAGGCCUAGUUAUCUCCAAAAAUAUCCACGUUCAUAAUAUCUGGUAUCAGAUAGAGUCCAGCGAUCCUCCUCCAUCAGCCGAAUCCUCCAGCACUUCCUAUCCUCCAUCAGCCGUUUCCAAAAAAAAAAAAGAUACCGAUCCAGAUCGCCGUGUCGCCUACAUCAUCCAUCUUGCCGCGCCGCCACAGCAACGCCACCAGCCGCCGCCGCACCCCCAUCACCACAGCCACCGCGCCGCAGCCCCAUCACCACCAUCCGCCGCCGCCGCCGCAAUCAUCGAUCUAGAUCUGCCACAACACACCGCCGCUGCCACGCUUUGCCUCGAUGGAUUUCCCUAAAUUUGCGGGGAAAUCUGAUCUUGUGGCCUUCGUCAACCAGUGCGACUCCUACUUCCGCCGAGAGCGCAUCAUGGAGGAAGAAAAGGUAUGGCUGGUUUCUCGUAAUUUGGAAGAUGAUGCCCGGGUUUGGUUCCUACAAGUCCAGCACGCUGAAGGCACCCCGGCGUGGCGUCGCUUCACCGAGCUCCUGCACCUGCGCUUCACAUCGCCCCCGUGCCCCGACCUGCUCCACCAUGUGUCCUCUACUGCCAACGACACUUCCUGCAUCUUUGCUGAUAUAUUCACGCAGCUGGAUCGGAUCAAGGAGUUGCUCAACGCGAAGGAUAAGAAGGACCGUGAAUGUCGGGCGGCUGUACGUCUCCAGGCAACAGCACGGAGACUCUUGGCACGUCGCCGAGCGCAGGCUCUUCGUGCCACAAAAGCAUCGAAGGAGCAAGCAACGGUGCGCCUCCAGGCAGCAGUGCGAGGAAUGCUUGUCCGUCGCAUGGUACGGCAGAUACGCAUGCUCCUCAGCUCGACGUUGUCGUACGUGUUCAUCCACUCGGACUCGCCGAUACGGCCUGCGGCUCCAAUUGCAAUGGAGGUCCAAGUAUGGGCGUUUCCAGUGCAGCGACCUCGCAUCAGCAUCCAGCAUCAGGCAUCAAAGGCUAUCUCAUUCAUCCUUGUGCCUGCCGUGGUGAUAGACACUUUCAGCAUAAGAGCCAGCUGCUUCACACUCCACCCUUCAGCCUACAUGAAGCCAGCAGAGACGCUCUUCCCAUGGGAUCCAGGUGGAUAUCAUUGUAUUUUAGUAUUCAAUAAAAAGGGAAAGCCGAGAUGUAAAAGGCUUAACCCUAUUUCGCGUCAGCUCUCCAGCUCGAGGACGAGCUGGGUCUCCAAGGGCGGGGGAGAUGUCAUGGGCAUAAAGAGGGGCGCCAUAGGGCGCAAGUGUCCUAGUUGGGCCUUAAGCCCAUUAGUGUUAAUUGUCUAUAGGAAUAGUACCAUAUUGUCUAGGGCACAAGAGGUGUUAGUCCUAUGUACCUUUUAUAUUCAGCCCAUGGGGCACAAUGGAAAUCAAGCAAUGAAUUAUGAAGAAACAAUUCUAGUCUCCCUCAAUCUCUCAAGCUCUUGGCAAAGCAUAAGGCCUAGUUAUCCCAAAGCUCUUGGCAAAGCAUAAGGCCUAGUUAUCCUAAAAAUACCCACGUUCUUAACAUAAACUCUGUUCUUGCCAAAUAAGAAAAAACACAUCCCACAAAAUCCUGGCUAAGGAGACAUGGUGAGAAGCUCUUUGGCUCUUUGGGGUAUAGAACCCCAAAAACAUACUGAUCAAAACUAGAGACAGUAGUGGCAAAAACAUCAUCCCAACAAGAACAGUUAUCCAUCACGAACAGUGAAAGGUUUAUUGAAAAAGGAAAGCAGGAUAAGCUUUCUAGUGCUCAUGCCAUUGCAGUGACAGUGAAAUGCAAUGAGAAACUCUAAAAAAAAUUUGCGGGCUUGUUCAGAUUCAGAGCAACUUGGCCAAAAUGGGGUACCCUGAACCAGCCUGCUUUCUAAAAUUUGGUUGCCCUGCAUUUUUAGUUAUAGGAAAUAACUGGAUAGCUACAAACAUCAUUAUGAACCAGUUACCAGUACAUGAUCCAGACCCUGGUCUAAACAUGAGCAACCAUGUGCCUCAAUUCACUAACCAACACCAUCUCAUUUCAAUUAGUGCAAAAGUCAGCCAUUGCAGUGCAUAAAGAGACUACUGCGGAAACAUAUUACCUUUAUUAGGCUUGCAAGAAGAUUGAGCAUACUCAUCCUAUUGUGUUCCCAGAUGACAGGAAGCUGUAGCAAAAUGAUAGGAUAAACAACAGAACAGAAAAAUAAUUAUCAAAUGGUCUGGGUCUGCAACAGUAGAAGUGGAACCUAACUAGAUGCAAAGGUACCUCAUCUGCUUUUGGCCACUUUGUGUCACUAAUCUCCAGAGUUAACUCAAAGCAGCCUCCAUGUAUAUAGUUCCAGUCUUGCAUACCACCAUAUAUUGGAUACCUGAACCACAAGCAAUGGUGUUGUUUGAUUCAAAGCCCAUACAUACACAACCUAGAUAAAGAAAAUCUCAUAUGCAGUAUGAGAUUGCUAUUGUUUGUUUUACCAGAAUGCUCCAUUUGUUAUCCCUCCUUCAAAUUCUUUGCUCAAAGACAUGUUGUAGUGGGACCGACUAUACACAGAUGCCAUGUGCCGGAAUGUCUUAUCAUCAGGACAUCCAUAGUAAUGUUUGCUGUAAGAAGUAAAAUCUUUGUUGAGAAUCUUACAAUGUGAAACCAAGGAAGUCACAUCGGGCCCUAAAACCCAGUGGUGACAAUCAGCAAAUCAAAGAAAGCGACCACAUGUAGGAUUCAGAAAAUAGGCUUAUCGUCACAUCGUUGGAUAUUUUGAGAGAGAGAGACCUGUUUGAUGGAGCAGGAGAGAUACCAUGUAUGUGUAUAAAUCUAGUUGUUUGUGACAGCACAGAAUAACUCAUAAAUUCUACAUUAAUGGUUCAUUUCAGACAUAGUAGUUUAUUGAUCAGCUGAUUAAGACUAUGUCAGGCAUGAAGCUGAUCCUAAUCUGUCCCAACACAUGACAGUCCUUGCCUUGACACCCCCCCCCCCCCCCCUCCCAAAAACAACUGCUCACCCAAACUGUUCGAAUUAGUCAUAAAUCAGCACCCAAUGAUUUUUCUUCGCCAUGUACAUGUUGUGUUGCUGGUCUAAAUUUGCGGAUUGAUGGAUGGCCACAUACCUUACAAUACAAAAGUAUAUCAGUAUUUGAACAGGGAGAAGCAAAUGGUCCAAUUUAAAUGGUUUGGGAGAUUAGAACGAGUCAAGCUUUUUAAGGGUGUCAAGAGGACAAGGUGAUAGUAAAACAGACCAUUUUCAUAUAAAGAAUAAAAAUGCAACCAACAGUGGCCACAUCUUAUUAAAACAGAUUAAGGCUAACACAACUUUUGGUCAGUACUUCAUGAAAAGUUCAUCAGACUUUCUACAUCUUUAAAAGUUUGAGAGCAACACUAUUGAUUGAGAUACUUGAAAAAAUGAAUGUAAGUAAUUAAGUAGAAGAAAUCACAUUGUGUCUCUGGUUCCAUCCCAUGGAUAGUUGGCAACAAGAGCCCCCUGAAAAAAAAAUCAAAUAACAGAAAACUAUAGGACCUCAAUUCAACAAGAUAAGUGAUAUUACGACUACAGUAGGUGACAAUAGUUACCCCAUGCAAGCUAGCAGAAGCUGUGAAGUGUUCUUGCUUUACCCAAUUCAUGAUGGCUCUAGUUUCAGGCUGUCUGUAGUCAAUAUCGUUGUUAACGGAGAAGAACUGUCAAUUUCGGCUAGUGUCAAUUGAAUGGCUACAAGAAAAAAGGAAGUACAAAAAGGGAAGUAGAAGCUUCCAUAAGGAAAAGAGAUGCAAUGUAAAGAAGUACUCACUUGGUCAGGAAAAUCCCUGUUGAGAUCAAUAUUGUUUGCAUUACCACGCCAUCUAAGAGCAAAUCCAUCAGGGUUCAUUGUUGGAAGUAUAUGAAGGUGGAUGUUCUCAACAAUAAGAGUUGCCUACAGAAAUUAGUUCAACUGCUGACCUUUCCAUAUACAGUUAACCAUUUUCACAGAUUAAUGAAAAUAUGAUGUGCUAUACAUCAUAGUUACAUGGAACACCAUAUCUUAAUGUUGAACAAUAUAUCGUAAACUAAGUAAAAACAGCAUCUUUUAGAAUAUCAUUUCAUACUUCAUAUUUCGAAUAAUUUUCAUGUGUUAUUUUAUUUGUACCAAAAUUAUGAUAUCAUCAGAACAACUCAAAAAAAAUAAUGAAAGUAGUUAUCACAGAGCUAAAAACUACAAGAGGUUGGCUAUUGGUAAACUGCAGGGUGACCAAAGAGCAAGUAACAUCAGAGGAAUGUUGCAUACCAAUGAAUCCUUCAGAUAGUUAUCACACAGCCAAUUUGCAAGAUGUAUAAGAACCUCUCUGCCAACAGGCUCGUCACCAUGAACAUUUCCAAUGAACUGCAUGGCACAAAUUAAAUCACAUACAAAUUCUUGCUACCUUUAAUACUGAGAUUAGGAUAAACAACCUAGAGAAUUCAUCAUCAAUUUUAGUUGAAUAAGAAUAUAAGAGGUAAUUAACUCCAGCAACAGAGCAAGUCACCAGAAUAAUUGUCAAUGCACUUUGUUGCAGGAAACCAUGUGUUUAAGCAUGGAUCUAGUAUAGGAAAUUCAGCUUAGUAAUUGCCAAUGUGACAUUACUUGAUUGCAUGUUUGCCACUCAGAAAGAUGUGUUUAGUGUGAGUGUGAGCCUACGUGGGUAACAUUUCUGUGCUCAAGAUGUGGGGAAAAGAGUUGAAUUAUAAGAGUGAAAAAAGAAAGGGUAUGGCAUCAUGUAAGUCGAAUUCCAGAAAUUGGCAUAAAGGCAUUGCAUUGGCAUUGAACAUAUCCCACAUCGCCAAUGAUUCUGACACAGCUACCCUUUUAGACAACAAGCAUUAAACCAAAGAAUAUAUAUAUGAGAUGAAAAUCACAGGAAAUUUCUAACCAGGAAUUUAUUUCCAUUCUCCAAAUUAUGAAAAAGGAAAGCCCCACUCAAUAGUGUUAAAGAAAAUAGUACCACAAACCUUGAAUGCUGGUUCAGCUUCUCUUUGCCUGGGCUUGUCCGAUAUUUCAAUCACCCACUACAAGAACAAUCAGAAGUAUUCCCCAGUAUGUAAACUUGACACUAAGAAAAAGUGAAAAACAUACAAAAGAACACACCCAUUUAAUUUGCAUACCAAUGGAAAAUGAUUCACACUCUUUCCAAUGCUGAUAGCAGGUUUGUGUUAUCCCUCAAAGAGAGAAGAAACAAAAGGUAAGUGAAAUGUGAACAUAUGAGAAUACUGGACACUGGAGAGCAGAAAAUAAAGGAAGAAAGAAGCAAUGCACUUAAAAACUGUGAUAAUCAAGGAUAAUACCAAAGUUGAUUGACAAACAAACAAAAUAAAGAGAUUGAAACCAAAUUAUUCUAUUAUUUAGCAAAUGCUUAGAAUAGGUGAAUCAUGGCCAACGAACAUGGAACAUUUCAACAAUAUGAAGUAAAACGGAACUAUAUAUGAAUCCUAUGAAAAUAAUUAUGUUUCUAAGUUGGCAUUUCAUGAUUGUUUUUCUUUUGAAAACUACAUGUUUCAUUUUAGCCAUUUGCUGUUACCUAUCAAACAUGACUGUAUAUGCAUCGUUGAUUCUCUCAUCAUUGAUAACGACUUUGAAUUCCAGAAUAUAUGACUAGCCACCAAUGAUGCAGGCAUUUAGAUGGCUUUACAAAAUGAUGGUCUUAAAAGUUUAUUUAAAGCUCCGCAUGCAAUGAUCACAAAGAAGUAAAACAUUAUACAUCAUGUACCUGUACACCCUGGAGAUAUUGGAACAACGACUUCCAAAGGCAUGUACAGCAGACUCAAGCUCAGCAUUGCUCAUAUAUCCACGGACCAUUUCAUCCCUAAAUGUAUUUCAAAAACAAGCACAGCAGAGUCAACCAAUAAUGUCAUCAGACCGAGACACACAUUGUUUUCUUUUUAUAUAAGAAAACCCUUAAAAGUUCUAAUUCUAAACAUACGUGAUCUGAGGCGGCUUAUCUUCAAGAAGUUUACGUGAAAAUGACCCAUGAGCUCCAUCAUCUGCACACAGUGGACAAACAAAAUAAUAGAUACGUCAGUAACUGCCUAAUCAGAAUAGGUCCGUAUAGGCAGAAACAUACAUCAGUUUAUUGUGGAAUAUGUCUAAUCAAACAGAUAGACCCUGAGGUUAGUCAAGAACUCAAGAUAAGAGUAAUUUGAUCACAUAAGAGAAGGGCAUGGGUAUGAAUCUGUUUUGGAUGGAGCGUGGACAAAAUAAGCCACUACAAAACCCCAGCUUAUUGAUUAAUCAAGCCAUUACAAAAAAAAAAUGUAUACCACUGUUUUAAUAAGCUAAAUAAAUACGUGAUAGGCCAUGUAGUCUUCAACAGUCAACACACACAUCACGUAAUGAAGAGCAUGAAUGAAACUUUUAGAAUUCUAGCUCCUCCCCGGCAUCGCUGUGCGUGCACCGACUCCAUUCAUCCCCCAAUCAACGAUGGUUGUACCAAAAUGACUUGUAUUACAGGCACCAAACAAUUCCACCAAAAAAAAAUUAUCCUAUAAACCCCCACCAAAACCGAACGAGCUGCCGGAUCCGCAGUGCCCGAGGCUCCAAGUGGGACCCCUUCACACGGAUGGGGAACGGUUAUAAGUUCCAACCAGCAUCAUCGCCCCCCAUUACAGUGCAUAUCCAAGUAUCCAACCCUGACAUCACAUAGGGGAAGAGGAGGGAGAGACCUGACGGAUCGCGGCCGCCUCUCGCGACGGCCUGCGUGGGAAGCGACGCGAAGGCGCGGAGCACGAGGAGGAGGAUGAUGACGGGCUGGAGGCGCGAGAUCGCCAUGGGCGCGGGAGGACUGGACUCCGCCCACGGGAGGGACUGAGGGAGGUGGGGGCUGGGGAGCGAAGCCGCUGGACGCUUUGUGUUUGACUGGUCCGUUCCAGGGCCAACCGCACGGUGACCCGGACACGGCCAGUGGCAGUGACUGGUGGCCGGCAUGAUCUGCUCCAAUAGAGAAUGUACACAAAACGUUAACAAAACAGCACCAGUGGUCUAGUGGUAGAAUAGUACCCUGCCACGGUACAGACCCGGGUUCGAUUCCCGGCUGGUGCAUGAUUUUUAUUUUUAUUUUUAUUCAUUCAUAUGGAUUUCCAUCCAUUUCAUUUCGUGUGCUUAAUAUUAUUAUGUUUUGUGUUCCUCAAAUUCCUCUCCUGUUAUACAUUUCCUUCCAUUUCAGUUGCAUUUCCUCGUGUGUUCAAUUCAUGAUGAUGAAAAAAACAUGAGAUAUUUUUAUUCAACGAUUUCAUUUUACAUGUACGACAUUGUUUCAGUGACCAAUUGAGGUGUACGAUCCAUUUCUUUUGCUCAAAUAAUUAUCUAAAACAAAAUAAGGUUUGUAACGUAGCAUGCUCUAACUCAGAACUCAGAACAAAGGCAGCAACGAAGACUACUCCUUUGUGCUGUCCUAAAAAGGCUUAUAUAAAAAGAGAGAAACACAGCUAAGAAAGUGGCAUUUUAGCCUAGCUGCUCUACAUCACCUGCAUCUAUUCAUUCAGUUUGAAACACUCCUUGAGCCUCCGCUUGGUUCAUGUGUAAUGGGAGGAAAAUUUGUAGUCCCUUGUUCCCAGCCAAGCACCAGCUAGCUACUUGCUUCCUCUUUGAUCACAUAUGUCACCUCCAUCGCUGUGCGGCAUUUUCGCUUGAAAACCCUGUUGUUGCGCUCCCCCCAAAAUUUGCCAGAUUGUUAGCAUUUUUUAACGACCUUGUUGUCCAGACUCCUACUGCUACUGGUGCCCAAAUCUUCCUUACGAACUACGAAGGUGCAUUCCCAGAAGAGGUGAGCUGUGCUCUCAAGGUUUCUAAAGCACAACUGACAGAAGUACUGGUUUGGCCAUGUCCCCUUCUUAUUUGUAACAUUGCUGCUGUCGAAAUUCUGUCCUUCAGCAUUAACCAGGUGAAAAAUUUGCACUUUGGUGGUGCUUUAGCCUUCCAGAAGAAGAUCUCUGCAGCAGUGGCACUUCUUGUGGAUCCUUCAAUGGAUCCAAGUUAUUUUACCAUCCACUGUUUCUCUUAGCUGAGUAUCUUCAGUCAAGCACCAGAGCCUUACAAAUUAUUCUAUCAGUAAUUGUGUCAGGUCGUAGUCAAUGUCCUUGAUCCAUUUGCUGUCUGUGAGGGCAUCUGCUACAUAUAUGUUCUUUCUUCUGCUGUGGUUGGAAAGAGUUUCUAUGGAGCGACUAUAAUAAAAGAAAUCACAUAAACUGAAACACAACAGCACCAGUGGUCUAGUGGUAGAAUAGUACCCUGCCACGGUACAGACCCGGGUUCGAUUCCCGGCUGGUGCAAUAUUAUUUGUACUUUUUUUAUUUUCAUUUUUGUUACUCAACUUACCGACCUGAUACAUUUUCACUAACUCCUUUCGUAUGUUUUCUCAUGUGUUUGGAGCUGAAAGUAUGUUUUCUCAUGUGUUUGGAGCUGAAAGUAUGUUUUCUCAUGUGUUUGGAGCUGAAAGAUCCUCUCGGCCUACAAGGGGAGUUCAUUUCAGGAUAGAAAGGACAACCCAAGACAUGAACGAUCGCCUGAAACUUCAAAAACAUGAGAUAUCUUUAUUCAAUUCAAUUCCUUUUACAAGUAGCACAUUGUUUCAGUGACCAAUUGAGGUAGGUGUAUGAUCCAUUACUUUUGCUCAAAUUAUCUAAAGAUAUAAAAUGGUAGUGUAACGUGACACGGCUAUCAAGUCAGCAGCAAAAACUGGGUUCAGCAAGAUGCUCAAGGAUGGUUCUACAUCAAUCAAUCAGCAAAUACAAAGAUGGCGGCUCUACUGCUUUGCUAUGGGAAAUUCGUCUGCGCCAGCUGAGAGAGUGUAUAUCAGCAGAGUCCACAGGAGGAACAACUGCACAAGGCUGCAGUGCUUCUGCCUUCCCUGGAAAACCUUUUAGCAGGCGCAGGUGCCGUUAUGUACUCAAUGGAAUAAUUGUGUUAGGACCUGUGACACGAGAUAACUCAUGAGAUUCAACUCUAGAAACUACUCACGGUUUAACAUAAUGAUUUGCAGAAUAGAUAAAUAACUCACCUGUCAAGACGACUAGAAGAGGCUGCUAGUCAUCACCACACAGCUACUUUUAAAAUUAGGACAGCUACAAAAACUAAAAUUGCAGUGGAUCCCAUCUAUUUUGAAUUGGAGACCUUCAGUAGCUCAUGGAAUGCUUCCUGAGGAAUGUCGACAGAUCCCACACGUUUCAUGCGCUUUUUGCCUUCCUUUUGCUUCUCCAGCAAUUUCUUCUUCCGAGUAAUAUCACCACCAUAGCACUUGGCCAGAACAUUCUUCCUCAUUGCUGACAGGCUGAAAAUGGUGAAAGAGAGCAUAUAAGCGAAACUAUGUGACAGCAACAUAUUAUUCAACUCUUUACCUCUUAUAUCUACAAGGCUUUUCAGAUACAGUUAGUUAACCUGAUAAUGGACAAUGUAUUUAGUUAUUCAUACUGUGCCAACGAACAAUGCCACUAAAACUAGGACAGCUUCCUACAGGUUGAAACCUAAACCUUUCAGAUAUGCUGCAACUAGAUAGGGCAAGACUGGAGGUGAUUUCCCAAGGCUUUCUUUUUCUCAAACGCGUCAUUUCCCAUGGCUGAUUGGCAGUAAUUUUAUAUUAACUGAACAGGUAUAUCUUUUAGGCCAACAGAAAGCUUUAGCUGGAAAGUUUUUGAAACCCUUUCCACCUGUUGUAAUUAGUUGAUAGAAAUUUUGUUAGUUUUUUACAGAAAAUGCUCAAGACUACUGUCUUGAAUAUUCUAGAUGAAUGGAUAGCAUUGCUGUUGUAAAUUCAGUUAAAUGUAUAUAACAAUUUCAAAGCAGUUUGAUAUAAAGAAUCUUCAACCAAAUAACAAUGUCACAAUUGGUAGAAUAUACUUUAGAAAACUAAUAGCAGCUUCGAAGAUCUUACGUUUCCCUUGCAAUAACCUUUGAACCAAUUGCUGCUUGAAUGGUGAUCUCAAACAUUUGCCUGCAUGAAAAGAAUGAAAUAAGCCCUUAGCAAAAUUCUGCUCUAAGCCUUACAAAAUUCACUAAAAAAAACUGCUCUAAUAUUUUAUUCUCAUUUGUAAGUCCAUUCCCUUUGCAGCUAAUUACAAUUUUGUAGUGCAAUUAAUAUUGACCCAAAAGUAAUGUACUCAAAAAGAUGCUCAUAUCUCAAGCACAGUACACAUGUUCAAGAAAAGGAGGUUGAUGAAUACCUUUCUAUAAAUUUCUUGAGCUUCUCCACUAAUUCCUUUCCAACCCGCUGAGCCUUCUGGUUAUGCACUAUAGUUGCCAUAGCAUCAACAGGCUGACCAUUAAGAAGGAUGUCCAUCUUAACUAGAUCAGAUUGUUGGUAUCUGUCAAAGAGAAAAGGGGAAUAAAUUAAUGAUAAACUACAUAAAUUUCUGGUAUAUUUUUCUCCUCAUAUCAUCUAUUAUAAUUUGGAACAGAUUUUUGAAGCCAUUUAAAAAGUAAUUUUCACAAAAUUGAUGAUGGAUGCAUUACGUAAUAAGUCAAACAAUCCCAGAUCUGAUCAAAAGAAUGUUUCCAAAACCUUGUAUACACAAGACAACUGCUCUCUUUGUAUGUAAUCACUAGCGAAAAAGAAACUCCAUUCAGAAAGGUGUACUGACACCUUCAGAAUAUAAAGGACUGCAAAUAAAAAUAAUAAUACUGACAAAAGCAUACGAAGUGAAAUUUUUUUAUAAAAAAAAAACAUGAUAUUUUUCUCAUCCGUAAAUUCCAGGGGAAAAAAAGGUGUAGCCAGACCAUGCCUUGUUAUUGCAUUCACAACAGGACUUACUCAGAAUCUUCAUAGUCAAAAGUAGCAUAGCCAGACGUAAUGCCCUUCAACUCAUUGUAGAAGUCCACAAUGAUCUCCUUCAAUGGUAACUGGUACUUCAACAGAGCCCUUUGGCUGCAUAAAAAAUAGGCAUAUGAAUAAAAAGCAAAGAAUAGACGAGCACUUAACCAAACUGAGAGAUUUGGAAGCAAAAAAGAUUUACGCAUCAAUAAAUGUAUAUUCUAGCUGUUCGCCCCUUCUUUCUGAACAAAGCAUAAUGACAGGCCCAACAUACCUGAAAAGGUGAUUUGAGUAUGAUAACAAAUUUCUACUUGUAAUGCUCAAAUAUUGAAAAAAUAAAUGUAGAAAACAGGUGAGAAAGGAAGCAGGUCUUACUCACUAGGGAUAAUGAUUGUUGCAAUAACUGUGGGCUCCCAACAGGCUGCUACACGCUUUCCAGGAUUCGAAGCCAAAGCAGCAGGAUUCUCAACUUGCACCUUGCUGAUAAAAUAACCUAAAACUUUUAGUAUCCUACCAGAAAACCGAGGUAGCAAAUACAAUUGUGAGUGCACACCUUCCAUCACCAUAUUCAAAAAUAUAAGGUACGGUUGGUAUGGUCGAUAUGACUUGAGCUCCAUAUUCCUAAAUAAAUGCAGUGACAAUCAGAACCUCAAGGCAAUUUAAAGGCCACACAAAUUAUUUACACUACAUCACAUUUUAUAAGUUCCUCUUUUUUGUCAUCAUAUUCCAAUUUCCACCCCUUAUAUUUUCAAAUGAAUGGAAGAGUUUCUAGGCUGACACAGGUAAUCAAUGUACUUAAAAAUAGUCAAUUAUAUAGGACCGUUAACCUUAUGGAAAAAGAUAUUCUCUAGUUUUUUUCUGCAAAAAUAUUUCAUCCUUCUAAGUUCUAAAGGCAGCACCUCAAAGUUACAAAUUUCCUUGAGAUACUAGCAUAAUAAUUAGGAAUGAAGCUCUUUAAUUAACUUUUCAACAUUAAUUGAUGUAUUGUGUGUCCUGAGUAUAAAUUAUGCAACAGCAAAAAAUCAACAUAUCAAAUUUAUGCGAAAAAAAUAUACUUGUUCAAGCCGUUGAUGGAACACAUCCAUGUGUAGCAAUCCUAGGAAGCCACAUCUGUAAAGCAGUCAUAGAAAAAGUUCAAAAACAGAUUACAGCAAAUUCCACACUCAGUGUAAUGAAAACAACAGAAACGAACUAGUUAACGUGUAGAAAAUCUGGUACGGUGGUACCUGAAUCCCAUGCCAAGUGCAUUGCUUGUCUCCUUUGUAAUAGAGACACUGGCAUCAUUACAUGUUAGUUUCUCGAUCGCAUGGCUAAGAGCUUCAAAGUCAGAACCAUCAGCAGGAUAGAGACCAGAGAAGACCAUGUGUUUCGCAGGCUUGAAACCUGAAAGGCUAUUCUGUAUGAUGUCGCAUGCAACCAAAAAUGAAAGGAAAGGGAUAUGAAACAAUGCUAUGGGACUGCAAUAGAUCAUGCGUAUUCUUUUCAGGCUAAAUCAUACAGAAUGAAAAGUGAGAAACGGAGACAAGGCCAUAAGAAUGUUUCGAGAUUGGAUUCCAUACCAGGAAGUGGCUCGACGGUACUCUUUGCCUGGUGAAGGGUAUCACCAAUGCGUGCUUCUUUAGUUGAACGCAUUCCACUAAUAACAUAUCCAACUUGUCCAGUGUAGAGAACUCCAGUAGGUUUAAGCUCAGGGUGCAUAAUGCCGACAUCAAGAACUUCAUAUGCACGACCAGUUGCAGCUGACGCAAUCUUAUCACCUUUACGCAGAGCACCAUCAACAAUAGCAACAUGGCAAAUCACGCCUUUGUAUUCAUCAUAGUAGGAAUCCAAAAGCAACAUCCGUACAGGUGCAUCACAUUUCCCAGGUGGGGAAGGUAUGCGUUCAAUAACAGCAGGCAAUACCUGCUCAAGGCCUUGACCAGUCUUGGCAGAAGUAAGCAGAGCUUCACUUGGAUCAAUGUCAAACAACCUCUUCAAUUGAUCCUUUACAUUAUCUGGGUCAGCAGUCGGCUGAUCAAUCUUGUUAAUCACAGGAAUGAUACUCAAAUUUGAUUCAAAGGCAAGGUAAAAGUUUGCUAUUGUUUGAGCUUGUACUCCUUGUGCUGCGUCAACUACUAAAAGAGCACCCUGGCAAGCUGCAAGGGACCUGGAUACCUCAUAGCUGAAAUCCACAUGGCCUGGCGUAUCAAUCAGAUUAAGCAAAUAUUUUGGCGUAUCUGAGUCCUGAGAUGCACUAACGUGCCUAUAGAACAUUGUUGCUGUUUGUGCUUUGACCGUAAUCCCCCUUUCUCUCUCAACCUGGCCCCCACAUAGAUAAAUGUUACAACAGAAGACACACAAUAUGAAACUAGACAUCAAGGACUGAUCCAAUAUCAAAGCAGUUUUCUGAAAGUAAUGCCCAAAUCAGAGUAUAAGGAAAAGGGAGUUGAGGUUGUGAAAAUAUACACUCUUCAUUAAAUGUAGUUGAAUCACAUAAUAUUACAACCGAAAAAGUUGUACUACCUCAAAUUCUGAGAGUUAAAAAGAUGAAUCCAGCAACUCUAUUUGCAUUCUUUGGAACAAAAAAAUAGACGAUUCAUUUUUGGGAUCUGAUAACCCUAAGAUGACCUGGCAUGCUAAAAAUGGCUUCUCAUACUGAUAACUGUUAUACUCCCUCAGAUCACAAAUACUUGACACAUUUGACUUUGCAUGGUAUCUUUGACCACUAAUUUCUCCUAGAAUAUAUUCUUCAAAUCCUUCAAUAUAAGAGUAUUUUGAAAACAAGUUGAACAAAUCUUGUCAAAUGUAUAAGACAUUUGGCAUUUAACUUGCACGCUUCUAAACUAAUAAUGUAAUAGUAAUUGAUGUUUGUAGUUUUAAAGAUUUGACCAAUCUUGUCCUAAACAACAAGUUUUUGCGACCGGGAGUAGUAAGAGUUUAUACUGUUGGUAAGAUAGUAACUACAAGAUACAAAGUCACAAAAUGUGGACAGGAAUUGUAAAAGUUUCAGUCAUGAAGCUAGUAGCAGUAUAGGCAUCAACUGAUAUGGAAUUAGUGUAACAUUGUACCCACAAAUAGACCUUGACACUUACUGGCAGUGCAAUGGUAAAAUCUCAAAAGGCCAAAAUGUAACAACUAUUUAUAAACCUAAUGCAGACAUCAAUGCAGUUCAAGAAUCUGAUCAUGAAAACAGUAUGGAAAUGGUGGCCUGACUGACUGAUCACCUCUCACUAUCUGAUAGUUGAGCGGUAAAGGGUCAACAUUUUACUUAUUAUUUCUCUAACUUAUCGAACAAGGAGAGUGAGCGGGAAGAAUUAGCGUCGCACUUGCAGCUUGUCGAGGUACUGGGGCUGCCCAUGGCCCUUCUGGAUGGUACCGGUGAGCUCCAGCAGCCGAUCAGCCAGCGUCGACUUGCCGUGGUCGACGUGCGCGAUGAUCGAGAAGUUCCGGACCCGCUCCGGCGGGUACAGCGCCAGCUCAGACCCGGAAACCGCGCCGCGCGCGCCGUGCUCCGGCGACGACUGCGACGACAGGAGGCGCUUGGGCUGCUGGAGCACACUGCGGGAGAACGCAGGGGCGGCGGCGAGGUGCCGGUAAAUACGGCGAGCGGAACGCCGGAGCACGGCGGCGCCGGCCAUUCCGAGCCGCGGGAGGGACCGGCCGGCGGCGGGAGCUAGGGUUCUGGCAGGGAUUUGGCUGGAGAGGCCGAUUGGUGGCGGGGAACCGGUCUAUGGGUGUGUGGCUGACGUGGCAAUUUGGUUCCAUAAUUAAUUGCAAAAGUCAGUUUGAUGUUUUUUCCGGGCUCUGCGUGCGCGCGAGGCGCGACCAAACAGAAUUAAAAGUUAGGCCUCGUUUGCUACCGUAGCAUUUUUACUAUAUAGAUUUAAAAGAUUUGUCUUCCAAAUUACAGAUAAACUGUAUAAUUAAUUUUUUUAUUUUAUUUAUAUUUAGUAUUUUAUGCACUUAAUGCAAGAUUUAAUGUGACAGAGAAUUUUUUUAAAAAAAAUUGAAACGUAGAGCAUCUCCAACAACUUGGUAUUUCAACAUGCUAUCCUACCAAAUUUGCUAAAAGCAUAAAAAUCCUCCUCCAACAACUCCUUAUCUCAACUUGCUAAAUUUCCCAAGUUGCUAUCCAGUGCCGAGAUUUGUCAACUUGCUAUCCCAAGUUGCUAUCCCGAGCGCAACUUGUUGGAGACACAUAUUCUUUUACCAAGUGAGCGGGUCCCAUCUGUCAUCCUCUAUUUUUACCAAGUGAGAAUAGCAACUUAUUGGAGACAUAUCUUUUUUUUCUUUUGCUAAACAAAUUAGCAACUUGCUAUAACUCAAGAUUUGACAAGUGAAUUUUACCAAGUUGUUGGAGAUGCUCUAAACAAGGCCUUCUAGGUUUUGGCUGAAAAAACAAAAACUAGUAAAAAGCUAAACAAUUUUCUGAGCAAAGGCACAAAAUCAAACAGCAAAGGCUAAACACUGGACCUUUUAAAAGACAAUUCAUCGGCAUUUUUCAAAUAGAUUUAUUAUCAAAAUAUAUUUUAUAAUUAAUCUAGUAAUAUUUGUUAUAUAUUAUAAAUAUUUAAUCAAAUUUGAGAUUGUUUGACUCCUUAGAAAAAAAGAUUUAUAGUUUUUAAUGAAGGGAGUAUUUGCUAGCAUCAUUUAGCAAGUAAAAACUUUUAGAGUAUUGGUGGUGGCGGAGCUUGAGCGAAAUCUCUUUUAAAGACUCAAGGGUAAAUUGGAGGGACCACUAACCACGCCCCAAAUGAUAUUAGCCAUGAUAUGCUAUAUGGUGAUUAAGAUCUUUUGAGAAGCUAGGGGUUAUGGCCUAGUUUAGUCUAUUAGGCAUAGCUUGUUGUUGCUGCUGUUCAUUUCAUAACUACCAACCAUUGUCGCAUCAAUAGCUAAUAGUGUAGCUAUCUAGAAAAUAACCCCCAUUUCAAAUUAUAAUAUAAGAUUUAGAUAUACAUAUCUAGAUACAUAGUAAAGUUUGGAGCGGAUGGAGUAAAAGCGAACACGACCUUUUUCGUGUGAGGAUUGAUGGUAGCCAUCUUAGUGUCUCACAGUCAAUUUGGUGUAGUCUCAACUACUAACACAUUAGAAAUACAUAUAAUAAAAUUCCUUUUGUAUGUUUAUGUGAUGUCAACUGCUAGCACAACUAGAAAACACAUAUAAACCCCUAUGUGUGUUCAUGUCAUGCCAAACUCUCACCCUCUCACCCUUUUAGGCCUAAGAUUCUCUCUAAAACUAUGAUAUGGAGUCUUGACCAACUACAACUAUGAUUAGUUUGUUCACUUCUAUUAUUUUUAUGGUUGUUGUUGAUAUACAUCUAUACAAGACUGUUCUCAGUGUUGUUGUAGUAGCAGCUCUAGCUAGCCAUUCCAAACAAGGAGCAUCUCCAACAACUUUGUAAAUUUCACUUUGUAUAUCUUGAGUUUUAGCAACUUGGUAAAUUAUUUACCAAGUGGAAAAUAGAGCCAUCUCCAACAACUCCCUAUUCUAACUUUGUAAACCAAAAAAGAAGGCCCACAUCCAUCUCAAGCCCACCGAUCCAACUAGCUACGUACCGCGUCUCAUCGACUACCUCACCGCGGGGUCCUCCCUCCCUCCUCCUCGUGUCGUGCGCGACGGUCGAGUGCCUCAUCCAUCUCGGUCCGCCGCCGUGGCUUCUCCUCGAGUCUUCCCUCUUCCGACGUGUGUAGAAGAUGUGAAGCAGUGCCCAAACGAGAAUAGAAGAAGGGAAGAAGCAGCGUCGGUGACAAAGGUCCAGCAAGGCGGCAAUCUCCUCCCAGCAGGGACGGGGAGGAGAGACACCGGCUACGGCAUGGGAAGGGGAUGAGACGGUCUCGACGAGGAAGAAGAAGUGUCAGCGGCGGCCGGGGCUUUAUUCACGCGCGAAGGGAAUUGGGAUCGAUCCGGAGACGACGCAGGAAGACUGCUUGGCGCGCGCGGGAGAGGGAAAAAGUCCAAGGGGGGAGGACUCGCGGCCGAUACAAAGUGCGGAAAGAUACGCGCGCGCGUGGGACACUUUUACAAAGUUUGGAAAAAUACAAAGUUAGUUUACAAAGUUGUUGGAGAGCUCUGUUUUUAUUUUUGCCAAAAUAAUAAGAAUACAAAGUUAGUCUACAAAGUUGUUGGAGAUGCUCAAAUGUAUCAGAAGAGGGUGUUCUGGUGCAAAUUUAAACGGUUCUCACAAUAUGUUGUUUUGUUGUGUAGAAGUGCUAUGACAUAGAGACUUGACAAUUGGAGCUAAAACAUAUAUUUGAAAGAUGGAAGUGCUGUGUAAAUUGUCAUGAAGAAAUUAUUGUUUGCAUCUGUAUUAUUGGUCUACUACGCAAGUUUUACCCAUGUGUAUUAGCAUGGUAGUGGCUUGUUUGAAAAUUCGUUCUUUUAAUUUCGAUUGCGAAAGAAAGAUGCCUUUGUAGGCCAUAACAUGGACAUAAUUGCAAAAAGACCACAAAUCCACACAGUUAAUACUUAGUUUAGUUCGGAAAAAAUUUUGAAUUUUGGUACUGUAGUAUUUUCGUUUGUUUGUGUCAAACAUUGUCCAAUCAUAAACUAACUAGGCUCAAAAGAUUCGUCUCGUAAAUUACAGACAAACUGUGCAAUUAGUUUCUGUUUUCUUCUAUAUUUAGUGCUUCAUGCAUGUGCCACAAGAUUUGAUGUACCGGAGGAUCUUGAAAUGUUUUUGAAUUUCGGGGUGAACUAAACAAGGCCUUAAUAGAGUGUUUGGAUUUCUUUUGAACCAAGGACAAAGAACAUGGUAAUACAUUCACACUAUACUAAGCCUCUUUUUGGUAUAUAUAAUUUCUAGUUUUUUCUCUAUAUAAAUGUUUUUUAAACAUUUCUCCAGUAUCUCUAUGUCUGAUUUAUUAUUGUCUCUCAUGCAACAUACAAUUUUUCCCAUUGACUGGCUAUAGAAAAAAAUAUGAAUUGUUCUUUUAGAUGUACUAGUUGAUUAUGUAAGGUUGUUGUCUAAAAAUUUCUAAAUAGCUACUCCUUGUUCAAAUGGAUAAAAUUAUACAAUCGUUUCACUAGUUGGUCUAGUUGAAGAGCCUAAACUAGAGAGGAGAUAUAACUCUUACUGAGAAGCCAAACUAAAGUUAUCAUGUACACAUGGUAUUAGCAAAAAAGAAAAAAAAUAUAUGUUCACCUACUGAUUUGUUGCACGGAUUAGAAGUCUGACUACUCCCUCACAUAAAAAAUACUCUCUAUCCGUGUCAAAAAGUAUGCAAAUAUAUGGGUUUAAACAAAAGUCAAAACUAACAUAACUUAAGUUUAUAUAUUAAUAUUUAUUUCUAUAACUAGGUUUGCUAUGAAUAUAUAUUUCAUAUUAAGUCAAUAAUACUUAUUUUGCAUCACGGAUAUUUCUUAUUAUUUUGGUCAAACUUUAACUCGUUAUGUCUUCUAUGAACAGGAAGUAUUAUAUUUCUGGCUCUAUGAACAUUUACAACUUGGACUAUAAUUGUUUAUAAUAAGAAGAUAAAGUUAUGAUGCCUAAUGAAUGAAUGUUACUCCAGACAAACAAAUUAUUGUCAAAAAAAUUAUUUUUUCUAUCCUUAUGCCAAAAAAAAAAAGUUAAAAAUUUCUACCAUGAUUUCUGCCGAAGUGUUAGCGCCGCCACAGCAUCCCCUUUUCUCUGUGUCAAUGGGAAGGAUCGAAUCCCCAAUCAAACAUUCAUGCUGUCAACACCAUCGUUCAUCACCAACCACUCUUACCAUCUCAAGCCAUCCCAAAUGCUCGGCAUGUGUGUCAACUGCCAGAAGCCACGCAUGCGUCCAUGUCCAUCCAUCCAUGCACACGCAAAGGGCAACUCUCAUGUCCAUCCAGCUGCUCGCUCGCCUGCCGGGGACGCCCGCCAAACCCGGCGAGCGUCUGCGCGCAGCAGCCGCGCGCGGAUCACGGCGAGACGCACGUCCGCCUCCCCCACCGCGCGCUAUAAGACCCCGCCGAGGACCGACGACCACAAGCGCUCCACUGCGCCGGCCGGCUCCCUCUCCGGCAGGGCUCAGGCAGCAUCCUUUGGAAGAAGAAGUACCUCUUCUCCCUGAGGCCUGAGCCCCUCCCCGCGGCGAGCCAACAAGCCGGCGCACGUCGCCACCCGGGGCUCACGCUCACCACCGAUCGAGCCCCAACCCAUUUAAUAACUAUAUAGAGCAGCUAGCUAGGAUCGAUCAUUAGAAAUGGCGGUCACCGCCGUCGUGACGAGGAGACCCCUGUCCAUCCUCUUCUACAUCAUCCUCGCCGCCGUGGCUGCCACCACCGCCGCCGCCGCGGAGACGCCGACGGACGCCGCCAUCGACGCGGCGUACGCGCAGCUCGUCAACGUCACCGCCAACCAGGAGUACUGGGCGGAGCGCGCCGAGGUGGCGCACGCGUACAACCGCGCGGCGUACGAGAGCGACCCCGUGGGCGUGAUGGAUCGCUUCAACGACGGCGUGCGCAGGGCCAUGGAGACGUCGACGCCGACGCGGUCCCGGUCCCGGUCCCUGGCGCACAAGGCACGGGGUGGCCCCUGCACGGCGACCAACCCGAUCGACCAGUGCUGGCGUUGCCGCGGCGACUGGGCGCGCAACCGCAAGCGGCUCGCCAGGUGCGGCAUGGGCUUCGGCCACCGGACCACCGGCGGGCUCGCCGGCAGGAUCUACGUGGUGACCGACCCCAGCGACGAGCCCGCCAACCUCGUCGUCCCCAGGAAAGGCACGCUCCGGUACGCCGUGAUCCAGGACCGCCCGCUGUGGAUCACGUUCGCGCGCGACAUGGUGAUCAACCUCUGCAGGGAGCUGCUGGUGACCAGCGACAAGACCAUCGACGGGCGCGGCGCGCAGGUGCACGUCGUGGGCGCGCAGAUCACGCUGCAGAACGUGCGGAACGUGAUCCUCCACAACCUCCACAUCCACGACGCCGCCCCGCGCGGCGGCGGCGUGAUCAGGGACUCGAAGCACCACUGGGGCCUCCGCGGGGAGAGCGACGGCGACGGGGUCUCCGUGAUGGGGUCCAGCGACAUCUGGAUCGACCACGUGUCGAUGCGGAGCUGCGCCGACGGGCUGGUGGACGUGGUGGACGGCUCCACCGCCGUGACCAUCUCCAACGGCCACUUCACCAGGCACGACCACGUGAUGCUGUUCGGUGCCAGCGACGCCGCCGUCAAGGACAAGGCGAUGCAGGUCACCGUGGCGUUCAACCACUUCGGAAAGGGGCUGGUGCAGCGGAUGCCGCGCUGCCGCCAUGGCUUCUUCCACGUGGUGAACAACGACUACACGCACUGGCUCAUGUACGCCAUCGGCGGCAGCCAGAACCCUACCAUCAUCAGCCAGGGGAACCGGUUCCGCGCCGUCGACGACGGGAGGUUCAAGGAGGUGACCAAGAGGGAGUACACGCCGUACAGCGAGUACAAGGACUGGGUGUGGAAGUCGCAGGACGACCUGUUCCUCAAUGGGGCCUUCUUCAACCAGUCCGGCGGCGAGAACGAGCGCCGGUUCGACAGGCUCGACCUCAUCCAGGCCAAGGGCGGACAGUACGCCGAGUUGCUCACGAGGUACGCCGGCGCGCUCAACUGCCGCGUCGGCAAGAAGUGCUAGGCCGGCCGGGGGUGGCCAUGUGUGUGCAUGCUAGAUUAUUAUUGCUUUGAUUUGGGGGAUCGGGGCGGGCGAUCGAUGCUUCGAUGCAGGCGCAGGGAGAGGCGUAAGAAUCGAAUUAAUGCAAAAGGUUGUGUUGUGUAUAAACUCUUGUAUUUGGAAAAUACCAUCUGUAAAUGGUCGUCAACGUACUAUAUACUGCUUGCCUGCUAGCGACAUAAUCGUCCAUGUGGAAAGGAUGAUGGUCGUCAACUAUCCCUUCCUGAUUGCAUGGAUCGGCAACAACAAUGGCAAUUCCAUCAUGUUGAUUAGAUUGAUUUCCUAAUCACGGCUGCCGUCGCCACCAACAGGGAGUUCGCCGCCAAAAGACCCCAUGCCGCUCCCUCAUGCUCCCCGUUGUCAUGCAUGUGCUGCCAUAGGGCGUCCGAUCUCCUGGCUCUACCGGUUCUCACCGCCGGUGCAACUACAACUACCACUCGCUUCCAUUUUUGCCGAGCGAGGAGGAGGCGAUGUGGCAUAGCGCGGCACUAAUUAAAGAGCAGACAAGAAUGAGAUGCCACACCCACACUCUAGCUUUUAGCGCAUCUUCCUCCACCGUACCCCUGCAUUUGGUGCGAUGUCGUCCACCCCGGCCUGCGGUAUAGCCCUCAUCGAUCGACACCCUUCUUCAGGACCAUCGUCGACUCCGGCAUCGAAGCCAUCAUCCGAGACCGAUUCCACGAAUCGCGACCCCAGCGUACGUUCUACCUGCUGAAUUUCAGGAAGCCCUCGUCGACGACCUUGGCAGUAUGCACACCCUCUUCGCCGCCGGCGUUCGGCAGGACUGCCUUCACCGCCUUCGCGCCUUUCAGGUAACAGUGCAACACCUUCCCCAUUACCGUUCGGCCUGCUUCUUGCUAGGUGGAGGGAGCGUGUGCAAAUCACCAGCAAGAUGACCUCCGAUCGAUCCGUUGUUGUGGCGCCGUUGCCACUAUCGGCGUUCGAUCAUGACAUCUAGAUAUGCAACCGUGGAAUCACACUCCGAUUCGACUUGAAUGUCGAGGAGGAGAUGCUGCACGAAUGUGCUGCUAGCCUGCUAAAUUCAGGCCAUCUGCACAAGGAGGACCCUGUGGUAACCACCGUUUUGCUUCCAGACUGAUAUUUCUUCUCGUUAAUCUUGUUAUAUUCUUUUUUGUGGCGCACUACAUUUGGGUCGAUGAAUUUUGGUUGAUGUGUUUUCUUUCGUUUUUGAUCUAGGCAGCAUCUGUAGUUCAGUUUUCAGUGUGACUAAGGCUGGACGAAAAACUCGAAGCUCGUUAGCUCAACGAGUCCAAGAUUUUAGCUCAUUAGCUAUAACGAGCCAACUCGAGCCAGCUCGUAGAGCCGCUCGUGAACCAAACGAGCUACAGUGUACCAGAGAAAAAAAUCAUCAUAACUUAUAUUAGUUUUGUAUUACUUCAUGUCUUACACUUUUUAAAUGAUUGAUAUGUCAGCUCAUAUAAAUAUUUUAUUGGACUUAAGAUUAUUGGAUAUAUUAUUAUUGUACUAUUAUUAUUUUUAAGUUUUAGAUAAAUACAAAUAUUAUAUUUUAUGUAUUUUUUAUAUCUGGUCCGCGAGCUUAACGAGCCAGCUCGAGCUUUUAACGAGCCGAGUUGAGCUAACUUUUCUGACUCGUUAAGAUAACGAGCCGAGCCGAGCUAGCUUGUUAUCCUAACGAGCCAGAACGAGCCGAGCCGAGCUGGCACGUUAUCCAGUCUUGUGACGGAAACUUCCAAAACAUUGAAGCCUGUUGCUGCAGAUGUAAAACUUGUACAAUUUAUGUAACUAAUUUGCUAGCUUGUGUUUGUUGCAAUUUCCUCUGACAAAAUUCAAUUUUAUGUGAUUUUGGUGUUAUCUCAAACAACUAAAAAGAGUAAAAGGUGUGAGGUCGUCCUCAAACUAAGAGUAAAAGGUGUGAGGUCGUCCUCAAACUGGCCUCCACGCGAUCCGGCAGCGUCGUCCGAUGUGAGGUCGUCCUCAAGCCAGCCUCCAUAGCCACGACCACCACGCCGGACGCGGGGAGGCUCACGAGGCGAAGCAAAGGGGACAUGACGCCCAAGAGGCGCGAGUCAAGUCAGUGCACCAGGUUGAGAUCUUAUUUGAAUGUUGUCGGAUUCAUUUUAAAUUUAGUUCAAGUUUCACUCCAAUCGAUCUCAAUAUACGUGGAAUCCGACUACAAGUGUGGCCGUGUCGUGUCGAAUCCCGUUGGCGGCUGCUAGGUACGGCAGCCGGCGUCCGGGCAUUGAAAUUUUGGUGUGUGCUUCUAUCUUGCUCCAGGGACAGUGGCACAGCGGCGGAGGCGGCGGCGAUUUGGCUGCGGCACCUGCAUGUUAUUAGUUCUUGUUCAGUUGGUAAAAUUUUUGAAUUUUAGUUAUUGUAGUAUUUUCGUUUGUAUUUAAUAAUUAUUGUACAAUUAUAGACUAAGCUCAAAAAAUUUAUUUCGCAAAUUAUAGAUAAAUUGGAUCUUAAAUUUUUCAAGUAAACAAGGCCUUACUACCUAACGAUCCAUACAUGAUUGAAAUAAAUCCUUUGUCCACGUAGCAAUCAUAUUAGCCAUGGAUACUCCGCUCCCUUCUGGAGCUCUGGUUCAUGGAUCCAAACAUAUCUUAGAGCAUGUUAAGAUUAGGUAAAAAUAUAUUCUAAACUAUAAGAUUUAGCUAUUAUAUAAAAUAAAAAUUCACUUAAAGCAUAAAGUUCUACAAUAGCUUUUGUAUAUGAUAGCUAAUGAGAACGACAUGUUAUAUAUGACAAGUGAAAGUUUAAGAAUAGCAAACUUGUUAUUUUAGCAAACCAGAUAGCAUACCUGUUAUCCUUUAAUUUUUGCUUUAAAAUGUAAAAAUAACCCAGAUAACAUGGAUAGUAUAUCUGUUGGAGUUGCUCUAAUGGCAAUAUUUUUCUAAACGCUAAAUGGUAAACAAUCGGUUACCUGUUGUUUAGCUAUUAUUCGGUAAACAGUCCUUAAACCGACUAAACGGUCAAUUAAACAAGCUAAAUGGAUGAUUAAACGAAAACAGUGUACCACGGUGUAGCGUUUACACGAUUUAAACGGCCGUUUAGGCGAGCAGUGGUCUUAGAUUGUCUCCAACAGGAGACCCAUUUAGCAAAUUCAAAAUAGGUUUCCAACAUAAUAUAUAUAGCCUCCAACAGAGUACCCAUACUCAAAACCUAUAUUGAGUAUCAGGAGAGCCAUAACCCAAAUUUAAAUAUUCUCUCUCCUCGAAACCUAUUUUUGUAGAGAGUGUUGUUUUUUUAGUAUUGUUGUUGAAGAAAACUAAAAAUAGACAUGAAACCUUUCACCUGUAACGAUACCCAAAUGAUAAAUGAGUCUUGUAUUUUGGGUGAUGAUCGUUAAAGAUAGUCUUAGUCCUUUCGGUUUGAGUCAGUAUUUUGAGCUAUGACUUAUCAGCCAAACGAACAAUAGAGCAAUCGUACGCAUGCUGUUUGUCUCAGCUGAAUCAAUGCAAUGCAUAUAAUAUGGCAAGAGAAAUUCAGUCCCUCGAUGACUAGAACAGAUACGUUGAUAUAACUGAUAUGUAGCAGAUAAACAAAUUGUUUGUUUGUUUCAUGCUUGCUUCCCUUUUCGAUCAAGCUGAAAUGUCUUUUUAUGCGGAUUCCUUUCUAAAGUGCUAAGGCGUCGUAUACUGUCUUCAGUAACUUAUCAUUGUUUAUGGAAUAGGAAUAAUGGUAGUCCAUAGUCUUUAUUUGCCAUUGAAAUCUCAGAGUAAUAAUAAAAAAGAAUUAGGAGUAAUGUGUGGAAUAGUCUUAAAGUUAUAUUUAUUUAUACGGUAAAUAUAACAUACUUUACUAUAAAGGUUUUAUGAGAAAUUUUUUAAGACACACAACCAAUGUGACAAGUACUAAUAUAUAUAUAUAUACUCAAACCUAUUUACAAGAUGGUACAACGAUAGAGCAAAACUUACUCGUGGAUUUAUAGGUGCACGAAAAAAAUGGAUAUCCGAGAUUUCUUUUUGUCAUUUUUUUUUCGCGAUCGAGCCAUUCACUCGUUUUUUCUUUCUGCCGAUAUAAAACAUUAUCUUAGCCGCAUUACAAAAAUAUCUAUACAGUAGAGUUUCUUCAUGCUUGUGUUAAUUUUACGAACUUUGGUUUUUUAUUAAGUGUAUUUAAUUUCACAACAUUCUUAUCUUAUGUGUGAUCCAUAUGUUUUUAAUAUAAAAGUUUAGUUGUCCCGUAACAAUGUACAUACAUGAAUCUUUUUUUUUUGAAUUUACAUACAUGAAUCUAGUAAUAUACAUAUACACACAUGCCCAUCCAAUGCAAAUCCUAUAUAGCAUCGGAGUAUGGUUUGGCUUCUCUUCUGUGCCGCCCUCCCCUCGAUCCCGACCCACAGCACAAACAAACGUACGUGUUCGAACAAGUUAAAGGCCGGACGCGCGUGCAUGCGCGCCGGCCGGCUAGCACGGCUGGCCGACGAUGCACUUGAGUGGUCCGGCGAAGCGCGUGAGCUGGCCGACGUAGCGGCCGUGCUUGGCCGGGAUGAAGUCGAGCUCGUCGUACUUGCGCUCGUUCUGCCCGCCGGACUCGUUGAAGAAGGCGCCGUUCAUCAUGACGUCUCCCUGCGACUUCCACACCCACUCCUUGUAGUCCUUGUACGCCGUGUACUCCCUCUUGGUCACCUCCUUGGCGUUGGGAUCGUCGGGGGCGAUGAACCGGUUCCCCUGGCUGAUGAUGGUGGGGUUCUUGUUCCCGCCGAUGGCGUACAUGAUCCAGUGCGUGUAGUCGUUGUUCACCACGUGGAAGAACCCGUACCGGCACCGCGGCAUCCGCUGCACCAGCCCUCUGCCGAAGUGGUUGAACGCCACCGUGAUCUGCAUCACCUCGUCCUGCGGGUUGUCGUUGCUGGCGCCGAACAGCAUCACGUGGUCGUGGUGCGUGAAGUGGCUGUUGGACACCGUGAUCGCCGUCGACCCGUUCACCACGUCGAUGAGCCCGUCGGCGCACCUCGACAUGGAGACGUGGUCGAUCCACACGUUGCUGGACGACAGCACGGAGAUGCCGUCGCCGUCGCUCCGCGUGCGCAUCCCCGUGUGCCGCUUCGAGUCCCGGAUCAUGCCGCCGGAGUGCGCCACGGCGUCGUGGAUGUGGAGGUUGUGGAGGAUCACGUCGUGCACGCUCUGCAGCGUCACCUGCGCGCCCACGACGUGCACCUGCGCGCCGCGCCCGUCGAUGGUCUUGUCGCUGGUCACGAUCAGCUCCUGCCGCAGCCGGAUCACCAUGUCGCGCGCGAACACGAUCCACAGCGGCCGGUCCUGGAUCACGGCGUGCCGGAGCGUGCCCUUCCGCGGGACGAUCAUCUCGUCGUCGCUCGGGUCGGUCACCACGUACAGCUUGCCGGCCGCGCCGCCGGUGGUCCUGUGCCCGAACCCGCGCGCGCACCGCGCAAGGCGCUUCCGGUCCGCCGCCCAGUCGGAGCGGCAGCGCCAGCACCGGUCGAUGGGGUUGGUCGCCAUGCACGGCCCGCUGUACCUCGCCAGGGCGCGCCGCGUCGUCGCCCUCAGCACGUCGGCGUUGAAGCGGUUCAUGGCCGCCACGGGGUCGCUCACGUAGGCGGCGCGGUUGCGGGACCGGGCCGCCUCGGCGCGCUCCGCCCAGUAAACCUCGUCGGAGGUGACGUUGUUAUUAUUACUACUGGAUGCCUGCGCCGCGGCGGCGAGGACGACGGCGCAGAAGAGAACGGACAGGUGGUGGCGGCGGCGGCUCCUUAGUAUUACGGCCGCCAUCGUCGACAUUGUGUGCGUGGCCGGCCGCCGGCCGGUGCCUCACGCCGCGGGAAAGGGCUCAGAGAUGUAUGUGUGGGGUGGAAGGAUUCUGAGCCCUCCCCGGCCGGUGAGCGUGCGGGGCGGCGUGCGUCACCUCUGGACGCAGGAGCGAGCGAGGUGCGCACGGUGCGGUGUGCGGUGGUGGCCCGGCGCAGGUAUAUAUACCGUACCGCGACCCCCAUGGGCCUUGGCUGGACGUCGCUGCCGCCCUGUUUUGGAGACGGAGGCGCGAGGACGAAGGCUGGCCGCUGGUUGUGUUUGGUGCAGCAGGCAUAAGCUGUUUUGAGGCUUCUGGCUGCCAAGCAGGAAGAAACGACACCUAGGUUGGCUCUGGCUGUCUUUCCAGGUAAUCAAAAGGCAAAAUCUCGGCCGUUGGAACGUGGGUAAAUUGCUAGUUUUCAUGUGACGGGAAAGUACGUAGAAUAAUUCAUCUCAGUUCAGUAUGUAGUGCUAACACUGUCAUCGCCGUGGAGAUUCGUGCACUUAAUUGGUAAGCGGCAGGAGUACUACCAAAGUUUAAAAAUAGUGAGGUAAGAGCAACUCCAAUCCAGGCCUCUACUUGAAUCCUUACUCUAAAUUUGAGGAGUUUUAACAAAAACUCAACUCCAAUGGAGUCCCUACUUAAACCCUCAUUUUACAAGUCCCUCCAAAUUUUAGUUUAAACCCCCCAAAUCUAGCAGCCCCCUACUCAUCCCACUUUUCCCCCUCCCCACCCCACCCCGCACGCCGUAGCGCACGGCGGAGCCGUCACCACGCCGGAGCUACAGCUGGAGACAGUGUCGGGGCCGGGAACGACGGCGCGCGGUCGAGGUCCGCGGCCAUGAGCUGGUGGAGGCGGCGGUCGGCGUGCGCGACGCCCGCGGCGGGCACGGCAGCCACGGCACCCGGGGCCUCGCCGUCGCCGCGGAGGAGGUGGCCGAGGCGAGCGAGGAUGCGCCUGCGGAGACGGCGAAUGUCCCGGUGCAGCGCCUCGAACACCCCCUGCUGCUUGACCUCCGCCCUGUAAGGGCGGUGCUGCGGCCCCGCGGCGAGCUUGGAGAUGACGUUCAUGUCCGGCGGCGAGUAGACGCGGCGGUCGCGCGCGAUGAGGCUGAAGGGAGGGAACCACCGCUGGGUGUUCCACCAGUAGACGAGCCACGGCGCGUGUCGCGCCACGCUGACCACCCACCGGUCCUGCGCCAGCUGCGCAGCGAAUGCUCGGCUGGACACGCUGCCGGGGAAGCCGCGCCACCAGAAGUUGGCGAGGGGCGAAACCAGCACGGCACCGGCGAGCCUGUGCGGGAUGUGGGCGAGGCAGCUCCACACGAUCUGCCCGCCCCUCGAGAAGCCGACGACGUGGAACCUGUCGCCGAGGCCGAGCCACCUCCUCCGCGGCGACGGCAAGGCCCCGGGUGCCGUGGCUGCCAUGCCUGUCGCGGGCGUCGCGCACGCCGAGCGCCGCCUCCACCAGCUCAUGGCCGCGGACCUCGACCGCGCGCCGUCGUUCCCAGCGCCAGCAGGCUCCAGCUUCUCCAGGAAGUCGGCAAUGCAGCGUACGGUGGUGGCGACAGGAGCAGGCGGGGCGAUGGCGUUGGCGUUGGCGUCGGUGCGACCGUGGUGCUCCAUGGGAAAGGAUAGGGUGUUGGGCUGGAGUUGGAUGUUAUUUUGGGUUCUUAUUGUUUUUAGUUCAGCCUCUAAAUAGAGUUUUUAGGGGCCUAAUUUGAGGACUUGGGCUGGAGUUGCUCUAAGACGUUCAGUGAUCACCCUUCUCAGACAUCUAAUUGUAGGCUAAAUCAGGCUGUAGCGGCUAAUAGCACUAAAUUGUACAUAUGACUAAAUAGCUUUACGCCUUUACUACCCUCUACAAGAAGCUAUAGCAGAGAUUUAGAACCAUGAGCACUAUUUGUUCUUCUCCAAUGGGACAACAGUUUCAUCUUCACCAAUGAUGAUUAUUCGUUUGGCUGAUAAGUCAUGACAGAAAGUACUGUUAGCUAAUUUAUUGUAAGAGAAAAACAUUGUUUAAUGACUGACAGAUUCGAAGCGAAUAAAGCUAGCUGCCCCCCUCCUGGCGUCUUGAGUGUGUGGUGACCGGCAACAUUGCCUCUCGAUCUUAUUCCUCGAGCGUUGGAAGAAGGCGGAGAGGACCUUGAUGAGAAAUAAUAAUCUAGAGCAAUUUCAUAAUGGUCCGUCACUCUCAAAUGAAAAUCCGUGAGUUAGGUCCAGAUGACACACCGUGCAAAUAAAGGGACUGCCAGUAAAUUUUACCCAAUAAUAUAAUACAAAAAGAGAGCAAUUUUAGAUUUAGAUUGAGUCAAACUUUCUUAAACUGAUAAAUUUAUAGAAAAAUAGUAUCAACAUUUAUGUCAAUAGAAAUAUAUUUCGUCAUCAAUCUACUGAUAUUUAUUUUGCAUCAUAAUUCUUAGUAAUUUCUUUUGUAUAAAUUUAAUUAUUUAUUUCAUGGAAAAAUAAUUAUUUAUUUUUUAGAAAAUGGUAAUUAGAUUCUUUUUAGGAUGAAGGAAAUAAGAGAAAGAAUCGUUUGGUUUAUCUGCCAAUGACAAAAGGGGAGAUGCAAUGACGCUAGGCUUGGGUUUGCUCGCCGGAUAAACCACGGGGAACCCAUUUUUUCAAAGAAAAAAAUAUAAAUAGGGUUACUUUUCAAAAUAAAAUUAGGUGGAUAAUGCGACUAAUUGUUUCCAAAAAUCAAACUAGCAAUCUUCGCAAUUGUCAAAUUAGAAACACAAACCCGACGUCUUGGGCCUUUUUUUUUAAAGAGAGAAAAGGGCCGGCCUGUGACCAGAAAAGAAAGAAGGCCCGCACGUAUCUAGGGUGGAAAAAAAAAAAAGGAAGAGUCCAACAAACCGAUCUCCUUCGUCGCCGUCGUCUUCGGCGGCGCCGCCGCCGCCCAAUUCUUCGGCCACCUCCGCUGCAAUAGGUUCGAUCGACUCCACCUCGUCAAGUUGUAUUUUCCACAACCAUGUGUUUUCACUUCCUAUAUCACCAUCCUAUCGCAUCUGCCACCCAUCAGGCGAUCGUCGGCGCCGCCGCCGCAAAAAAAUGCCGGCCUCGAAGACGGUGUCGACGAGCGCCGCGGAGACGGAUCUAGGCACGCACGUGUUUCACGUCGUCGGCUACAGCCACCAAAAGGCCAUCUGCGCUCACAAGGAUACUAGCAUCCUGUCCGGCCGUUUCUCCGUCGGCGGCCAUGAAUGGGCCUUGGUUCUUGUGGCUGAUAUCUACAACGACGACCACCCUGAUUGCGUCGCAAUUUCGCUCCUCUUGGACCCUUUUGCCGCGCCGGGGGUACUGGCGUCCUUCGAGCUGAGGUUGGUCAACCAGAGCACUGGGUUGCCCUUCACGGUGCACAAGGAGGCACCGAUGGUGUUCGAUGACAAUAAUGACAUGGCAGCUACUUGCUGGAUAAAAAGGAGCCUGUUAGAAUCGCCAACAUACCUCCAGAAUGAUCGCCUCACAGUUGAAUGUAUUGUCACUGUUAUCAAAGAACGACUGGUCUCUAAAACCAAAUCACUUCCCAGAAUCGAAGUGCCACCACCUAACAUGGCUGAGAAUUUUGGUAGUCUGUUGGAAACAGACUUGGGAGCGGAUGUCACAUUCAGUGUGGGAGAUGAGACUUUCAAGGCACACAAGAUUGUCCUUGCCACACGGUCACCUGUGUUCAAAGCUGAGCUCUAUGGGCCUAUGAAAGAGGAAGGAAUGAAGCCUAUAACCAUCAAAGAUAUGCAACCAGAUGUUUUCAGGGCCUUGCUGCGUUUCAUCUAUACCGACUCUUUACCUCCGUUGGAUGAUCUUGAGGCAGAUGAUCAUAGUGAAAUGAUCCGUCACUUGCUUGUGGCUGCGGAUCGAUAUGCCAUCGAGAGGCUAAAGCUCAUUUGCCAAAGCUUUCUUUGUGAAAAUCUUAAUGUGCAGACCGUGGCAACCACUCUGGCUUUAGCUGACCAGCAUAAUUGUGACAUAUUGAAGGAUGCUUGCAUUGAUUUUAUCACCUGUUCAAAUGAGAUGGAUGGUUUGCUGUCAAGUCAAGGUUACAAGAAUCUGAAAAGAACCUGUCCUGCUGUUGUGAUAGAUGUGUUUGAGAAGACAAGCAAGUUUCGUAAGGCGUGAGCAGUUUAUCUUAAGCUUAAUUAUCUGUUCAAAGUUGUUUCACUAAGGCCUUGUUUAGAUGUGAAAUUUUUUUGGAUUUCGCUACUGUAGCACUUUCGUUUGUUUGUGGUAAAUAUUGUCCAAUCAUAGACUAACUAGGUUCAAAAGAUUCAUCUCGCGAUUUACAGUCAAACUGUGUGAUUAGUUUUUAUUUUCAUCUAUAUUUAAUGCUUCAUGCAUGUGCCGUAAGAUUCGAUGUGACAGAGAAUCUUGAAAACUUUUUGGAUUUUGGUGUGAACUAAACAAGGCCUAAAAAUGAUUAGCUUGCCAGCUUUUAGCAUUGCAGCUCAUCCUAACUUGAACCUAUGGAUGAAUACCUCACUGUUAAAUGAGUCUAAGAGAGAUUAGCAUAGUUUUAUGUAGAAAUAGCAUGUUAGUGUUAAUGUGUCCUCUCACCAUUUGUUGGUGAAGUCUUGAGACUUUGCAAACAAAACCCUGAUUGUAUCUCCUGUUGUCUGAAGUUUGAUUGUGCGCUUCUCUGCAAGGCUGAUGUUCCCAAUAUUACCAUUAGACUUCUACAUAUGUUUCCUUGCCGUCUACGACCUUUUGCAUAUUUAAAUUUCCAUGUACUUUAAACUUUUGAUGCUAUCACAAUUUUAGUUGUGCCUCCAUGGGAAUUAAGUUUAACCAUUUAUGCAACAAUUGAAGUACAAUUUUGCAUAAGUUUUUAGGCUAAUGUGCUUUGACUGUUUCCUCAAAUAAAACAUUAUCAUGCUGAAUUCUUGUUUUGAGUAAAUGAAGUGACUUAUAAUGGUGCCAAAGGUAAUUCUGAAGACUGGGUUCUUGUAGCUGAUCAACAGCUACAGUCAGUGUCUAAGCCCUUUGUUGGAGGUGUCUUUGGGGUGUUGUUGUUCAAAGGGCUUAGGCACUAUUUUUUGGAAUGACUUGAGCCUCAGAAGUAAGUAUUGACCUUCAGGACUUUGUCUUUUUGACGCUUUGAUUUCAAUAGACAAUUACACUUAGAUUUACAGACUGGAUUGACUGCAAUUAGACUUUAUUUCCUUCAAUCCUAGUUAAUGAAUAUUAGAUUCUUUGUCAAUUGUUCUACUGUCAUAUCCAUGUUAAAAUUAAGAAUAUUGUUGCAAUAGUCAAGCAUUCUCGAUGAAUGAAGAGACAAUAUAAUUAGGCAGUUCUAUAAGAAUCAUCUACACUGACCUGCAUAUAUUGGAGUUUAUGAGGUUAAUGGAAAUGCAAAGUUUCAUGUCAUUUUGCAUAAGUGUCAAAGUCAGACAGCACCAAGUUCAUUCUGUUGUAACUCCUUAAUUAAACGGCAUUGUUCAGACAAUACCAAGUUGAUUCUGCCUUAACUCUUUAGAUGGCACUGUUCUUUUUAUGUUUCAAUAAUUGACGGCAACAUUAUGUCGACGAGGACAAAUCGUCUAGUUCAACGGUGGUAGGCAACUUCACCGUUGGGAUGCAGUUACAGACCGUGUUCAUAGCGUCUUCACUCUUCAGGGCUUGCUUUUGUUUGUUUGAUUAUGCUUGCUCCAUUGAUUCCUGCCUACACUGAUAAGGAAAGGGGAGAUGUCAAGGGAACCAAAUGAUGUUGUCAGUUGUUGCCUAUGCUUUAAUUGAGCUAAUCCCGCAUCUCCUGAAUUUUAGCUACAUCGGCAAUCCAUUUUCUGGUGCUUCAACUAUGUUUCAAUUUUGCUGUUCUCCAAUGGCAGCAAGGUAUAAAUACUCAAAAAAGUAUAAAUACUCAAAAAAGUAUUUAUGUCUUCUUUCAAAAGCCUGUCAUACUUGUUAGGAUUUGAUUUUUCAUAGCAAAUUCGCGUGCAACAUUUCAUUUUAGAGUUGCGUACUAUAAGGAAAGCUAAAUUUUCUGAUGGGAAACUCAGUGUGAGAAUGGAUUGAUGCUGAAGUUAUGGGGUUUGUCCGAAAAGAGGGCGCCACUCACAUUAGAUUGUUAAUUGGCAACGGGAUUGAUUGAGUUGGGGCGAUCUGUUUAAUUCAUUCAUUCGAAUUGGAAUAUACGAAUGUUUAAAUUUUAUAUGCCGUAUCAGUAAUUAUCAUGACCAUUUUGUAUAUACAAGGCCAGUAAUCAGAUGGAAACCAACCAGCCAUUUCCAUGUGAGAGGUUCUCAACAUGCCCUAAUCGAACUACGACAUCGAGUUGUAGCAAGGCUAUUUAUGUCCUUUUUUUUCAAAUAAAAAGAGAAGAUGCAUAUCAUUGCAUUAUCGAAGAGAGUCUAAAUGGCACACACCACACGACACUCACACUGUUACAUUAAACAUAUGCACCCAUGAGAAAAAAAAGAAUAAGGCCACCGACAUCUCAACCAUCAGAUCUCAGUCGAUUAAGUGGCCGUGCCGUGAGCGAAAUUUUGAUUGAUUGCCUUGUAUGUCUGUCAUGGAUGACUGCAUGUUUUGGAAGGGGAAAAGAUAAUCAUCCACAAGCAAGAUUUCUUGUGACAUUAUUCUGAAAUCUGAAAUUAUGUAUAAAUGGUUUGAAAACAUACCCAUACAACUCAUCAUGGUAGGCCUUGUUUAGUUGCGAAAAAUGAAAAGUUUUUGGUACUGUAGCACUUUCGUUUGUUUGUGACAAAUAUUAUCCAAUCAUGGACUAACUAGGAUCAAAAGAUUCGUCUCGUGAUUUACAGCUAAACUGUGUAAUUAGUUUUUGUUUUCGUCUAUAUUUAACGUUUCAUGCAUGUGGCAUAAUAUUUGAUGUGACGGGAAAUCUUGAAAACUUUUUGGUUUUCCGGAUGAACUAAACACGGCCGUAGUCUGUCUCUUCUCAUUCACAGAUCUGCCGCCUUCAGUAUUUACCAGAAUCUACGGAUAUGCCACCAGCAGAAGAAUCUUCUAUUUAAAUGAAGGAAUUGUAUCUGCAUCUAUAUUCAAUAACAUAUCUACAAAACCAUAUCUUCGGCUAUCCUCAUUAUCCAGCACCCUUGAUGUUGACGACAAUUCACCAGUUUUAUGAAAACAUGCAAUUUGUAGCUCAAAAAAGACCCAUUAAGAUACUCAAGUAAUCACAUAAGAAAACCUAAACCAAUAGCUCCGACCUUCUUGCCAUCUUAAAAUAAGUGAUGGGUGUGGCUCUGUACAGAGCAAAAGCUGCAACUCGACUUUGUGCUUCCUGUUCAUAAAUCCGGUUUAAUAAUGGCAUUUUAGAUAAGAAGAGAUAACAUUCUAUUUGAUUUGCUAUGCACUGAUAUCUCAGUGUACCAUGUACAAAAAAUGAUAAUUAUUAUCAUGGAGAGAAGUGCCAUAAUAGAAUAAUAAUUAGCUGAAUCAAAUUAUUUGUAAGAAGCAUUAUCAUACAAACAGAAAAGUUAUAACCUGGACAGAUCAAUAUCCUUCAUCUAGUUCAUGUAACUGGAUUUUAUACCACGGCCAGUAGCUCCCUGCAACGCAUUAACAGAAUAUACAAAUUUGCAAUCUCUCUCAGAUACAAGUUUGCCAUCUCUCUCAGAUGCUCCAUCCGAAAUGAUGAUAAGGCAUUCAAAUAAUCUUAGAGAGUCAAACCAUCUUAAGUUCGACCAAAUUUAUAUGAUAACAUAAUAACAUUUAUGGUGUCAACUAAGUAUCAUUAGAAUCUUUAUUAAUUAUAUUUUCAUAGUAUCUAUUUGAUGCCAUAAAUCUUUGUAAUUUUCUCUAUAAUUUUGACCAAACUUGAUGACUCUCCAAAAUUCUUAGAAUGACUAAUAAUUUGGAAUGGAGGGAAUAUUUUAUUAUACUUUGGUGUUUCCCAACCAAGUUUAUGACAACUUUGGUGUUUCCCAACCAAGUUUAUGACAACUUUUGUAGAACAGCUUUUCACAUUUUACCAUAGUCUCCCUGUAGUUGAGCAAAAAAAAAGGCUAGAAAAUAGUGCAUAGUAAAAGCGCAAAUCUAACAUGAAACAUGUCCCACCACUAUGAAGAAAAAAGGGAAAAAGCACUUGGACCUUCCAUAUAUCAUCUAUGUUUCCAAGAAGAUGGCCACAACCAUCAUGUGAUAAUUUCUCUAUUUGUUGGUGUUUCAAGAUUUCUGGAGCCACAGCCUCCCAAGCAGAUGAGUCUUCAAACUUCAAAGAACAUGCUAUCAAGCUCUGCCACCUCUUCAUCUACCUCCUUUGUAUAAGUUCUAUCCUUUGUAUAAGUUCUAUCGACAUCCUAGGAAUAGCCUUUUUAAAACCAGAUCCUUCAUCAACAUUGCCUAUACUCGCAGAUUUUUUUCCCCAGUUGCCUCUAAAUCAUUCUUAACACCCUGGACAUUUGCAGUUUCAGAAUUUGAAGAUACAGAAUUGGCAGGAUGGCUUAUAUGUCGGUUCAGGCUUCCAUGCUUGGAAUUCUUUUUUGCAGCUGUAAAGUGUGGGAGGGAAUCAUAAAUAGAUCAGUGUUAUCAACUAUGUAAAACUUCCAAAAACUUGUCAGGGCCAUGUAUUAAAAACUAGUAGACGACAUGUGUCAUAGUUACAACAUGAAUGCCAGUAAUACAAUGAGCAAGGUUACCUUGCUCUAACGCCUAUUUGGCCUUGUGCUGACAACUUCAAAACUUUGUAAGGAGUGAUCUUCCCAUGUAGAGGAAUCAUUGGAAUUUGCAUCCUCCUCCUAACAUCAGUGACAUCCAAAAGAAAAAUUAUACAAUUAUAUAUCAAUAAACAUGGUAUUAAAAUAAAGGAAAAGGAAUAACAGCUAACAAAAAAAUUGAUGAAGUGGUAGAGGAAUCAUUCAAUUGGUUGUGAAAUUGUAUGCAUAGGAUAUUCCAAUGUUGGGUACAUGCAAUGCAAUGCCCAUAUCAGCCGUAUAUUUAUAUUUUACUGCAAUAAUCUCUCUGAUACAUUGACACCGCUAAGUGACCGGUGACAGACAUGUUUUCAUAAUUUCCCAUUCAUGUGGGUUGUUCCCCAGCUUGGAACUUGGAAAAGCUCGUAUGCUUUCUGGGUAUUACCUCACGCUUUACAAAAAAAAAUAACUUUUGUUUCAAUCUGUUAAGUGUUAACUAUCCUCACCACAGGGUAUUACCUCACCCUACAAAAAACUACACAUUGGAGACCAUGUACUGAAACUGCGGUGAGGAUAGUUAACGGAUUGAAACAAAAGAUAAACCGUGAGCAAAAGAGAUAAGAAAAGACUUGAAUCGUUGUGAAACAGAUUUCUCAGUGAACAACAGUUCCAUCUUGCAUAACCAUUUCUGAGUUUUUCUUUUCCAAAUAAUAAAAACAUUGGGCUACUUAGACUAGCACAACAAAUAAAUUGUUUGUCUUCUAAACUGCAAGUUGCACAGGUUCAUGAGGUAGAGGCUCUUAGUAUCCAUGAGAAGUUCAGUACAACCUCAGAGAAGUAUUCAGAACGAUACAAUUACAGAAUAAACAAGCAGACAAAAAAACAUAAUAUAGAGUACUAAGGGGGGUGUUUGGGACUGCUCUGCUCCACGUUUUUCAGCUCCGCUCUACGUUUUUUAGCCAAACGGUUUCAGCUUCACGCACUCAGUUCGAGAAAAAAGGGUGGAGUUGUGAGAGCACCUAAAGAGGUACUCCACGAACUCCAGUUUUUUGUGGAGCUACUCCACGACGGAGUUUAUGGAGCAGAGUUCGUGGAGCAGUCCCAAACACCCCCUAAGAGAUGACUCAAUUCAAGUGAUAAAUUUACUUGUUCAUUCAUCUAUACCUCCUCUUGCUGGUCCAGGUACUGACGAAUCCAUGCAGCUUGCAACAACCGCCCAUCAUCCAGUGACACAGUCUCUUCUCUCCACCCACCGAUUCUAACUUCCAACCCCUCAGUGCAUCACCUUCACCUCCUCAGGUUCACGACUCUGGCACGCAAUUGUCCUUGGCACUGUGGACAGUACUUUAACAGAACCUUCGGUUCCUACAUCACAUACCAACAAUGUGAUCAUCACAUGAUUGUAGCAUGAAAGAGCAACACCUAAUUAAUCAACCAAUCAGCGCCUAUACAAGUGGAAAAGAAGAGACAAACCAGUGAAUUCAUGGGCUGUUGAGAGUAUUGGUCCAAACAACAUCUGAAGAGGAAGCCUAAGGUCUAGACUACAGCAUCAGGGAAUGAAGCAUCAAACAGAACAGAAAAAUAUAAGACAAACAGAGGAAAGGAAGCAAAUCUUCCUCCUCCCCAUCGAGAUCCUCUUCCUCCAAUUAUCCCUGCGAUUGCUCAUGUAGUCAGUUAUUUAUUACAAGUCCCGUAAUCAGGUUGAUCUCACCAGUGGCCAUGGGUGUGACAGCCAGCUCACAGAUAAACAAGAAUCACAGAAUGCAGGCAAAUGAGCACCCUAGUAGACUGGUGAGAACACAAGCACACACACACAGAUAAAUGUGUGUAAACAUGUUGAACCAUUCAUCACCUAAUAGACCUUAAACCCCUUGAAAUUUCAUACCUGUGAGAGGAGGUGGUGCUGCUGCCAAUGGAGAACUUGAGGGGGAGCUCAUAACCAGGCAGAUUAUAGCAUAGCCAGUCCAACGCCAAGUCAGACGUCACUGAAUCCUACCUCAUAAAAAACAAAGACAAACAAAAGGGCACAAGAACAAGCACGACAAAACAAAAACAUAUUUCUCCACAAACGAGGGUGGCAAUUCCUGAUCCAGUGUACCCCAAACACUUAAGAGUUCUUGUUCACAUGAACAGGUUAACACAAGCAGGCAUCACACCACAAACAGCAGCCCCUCGUUCACCCCUGCAAACUGUGUAUCAUAAAAAGGAAGGCAAAUAAACCCUGCUUUUGUAUGAAUUCAUGAAUCAAAUAGUAUGAUAGAUUUCCAAAAACAUUGGACUCAAUAAACACUGGAUCUACUUGGCAAAUCAAUCAAUAUAAUAGAACACAAUCCAGAACAAUAACAACUUAGUAUAGAACAUCCUGUAACAGCAUGUACCAGAUUAAAAACGAAAUUAUCCGCGAUUAUUUAACCACCUCGAUCCUAUUACAAGAUCACUCAGGCAGGAUUGUGAUCCACGCAGGCAGGAUAGCUAAUCCACAACAGCCAGCCCAGCCUAAACCAUACCACCACAUACUAGAACACAAAGUCACACAAUAAUAGAGUAGCCCCGCAAGGAGAAAAAGAUUUCUUAGAUCUUGUCGAUGUCCUCGUCCUCGAACUGGAUGUAGUCGCUGCCCUCCUCGCCGUCCUCGGGCCCAUCGACGUCGACGCCCUCGUUGAGCCUGAGCGUCUCGGGGAGCUCCCCGUAGGCCUUGAGCAGACGCGCCUCGUCGUUCAUGUACUUGAGGAUGACGUCAGCCUUGUCGUCCUGGUAGUCGCGGAGGCCGACGAGGACGAUGUCCCCGG
rnacentral:lncRNA from 1 species